GAUUCUCCUCUGAUUCAUUAGUAGCCUCAACAAUGUAAUAACACGAUUAAAAGUUAUCGUAGCAGUAACUCUUAUAAAUAUUAAAAAAUUAAUUUGUAAAUACAUCGAUCAUGUCUAAAUCUAAUCUAAGUCACGGUUGAUCUAAACAUGAAAAUUCUAACCAAUUCAUCUCAAUUCAAUCCAACUAAACCUAAACUAAAUUGACACAAAAAUCUAUUUAUAUAAUUUACUUUUAAUUUAUAUAUAAUUUUAGUUAUGAUUUAAAUUUAUACAUUUAAUAUUGAACAAAUAGUCAAACUAAAGAACAUUGGCAAUUAUGAUCAAUAACUUAACACAUAGGUAAUUAAAGAAAAUACUAAUAUAUAUUUAUAUUUAUAUUUAAGCCAAAAUAAUAUAAAGCUAAAAAGUGAGAUAAUGAAGUAAAAUAUUACUAACCUUAUGCAAUAUUUGAACUCGCUAUAGUAACACUAUCCAAUGGUGUACUUGGCUCAUUAUUAAAGUUCUCACAAUUAUGAACCUCCAGUGAUGUUUCAAGAGGAAGUUGAUGGAAUGGCUUAGGAGGCAUCUCAAAGAGUUCAACAUUAGAUUCAAGUAUCUUCAAGAUUUUACUCAUUGAAGGGCGAUCAGAAGGUAGUAAUUGUAUACACCAAAAAGCAAUUAUUAUCAUCUUCUUCACCAUUACUUUUUCAUCGUUAGAAAUAUCUCCGAACUCCAAGUCUUCUCCUUGAUCCAAUCGGUCAUAAAUCCAAGAUGGAAAAUAUAUUUGACUAGUGUGGUCAGCAAAUGCAUUCACAUUCUUUCCCCUUCUAACUAUUUCCAUCAAUAACAUUCCAAAACUAUAAACAUCGGCUUUGUAUGAGAUGCCUCAAUAUAAAGUGAUGAUUUUAUAAGUUUCGUACAAUUCAUAACAUAAAUAAUGCUAACCUCUAACCUUCCAUCAUAAUAAUUACCAUGAGGAUAAAUAUAAGAAUAAGAAUAAGAAUCUACAGAAGUAAUUAAGAGGAAGAGAGUUGCAAUCAUCCGUGUCCAACAAUCAACCCCUCCCAGAGUAGGCUGUCGAGGAGCCUCCUGCACAUCAUAAAUAGCACGAGUUGUACGCCCCAAAGCAUUUGCCAAGGACCAUCAAGAUGAAGGUCAAUAACAUUUGUGUAAAUUUGGAGUGCUACCUUACAGCCAAGACUAACAGAAUAGUGACUGUUUGGAUUGAAAUGCCAAAUGAGUCAGUUCGGAGUCGGAUACAAGCAAAGUAGCAUUCGAAGCAUCCGUUGCGCAUCAUAGGAGAUAGAAGACCUUGAGUUACAUGAUUUCAUUUUGAGUAUUGAAAAUUGAAAAUAGGAUAAGUACCAACCACUAAUAUAUUAUCAGCAAAAUCUCCCAAUUGAAAGAACAAAAGAUGCAUCUAUACUAUGUUUAAAAGUUUAAUAGAGUUUAUGGUUAUCUAUCAAUGAGGUAUCAACUCAAUUGUAAAAUCAUUAAAAUCUUAUUAUUUUGUUAAAAUAAAAAUAUUAUAUUGAGAGUAUUUUAUUUUUUAUUAAACUUUAUAAAAUUCAUCCAUUUAAUAGAAUUUGAACCCAAAACAUCAUAAUCCUUAUUACCUAAAUUUUACCAUAUUAAACAAAGCCACAUUUAGCUUUUAUAUCAUUUUUUAAAUAAGCUUGUUAUAUCAUUUUUUUUCACCCAUGUGAGGGUGCCAUAAUCUAAUAUAUCUUUAUUUAAUAAGUAAUAAUCCCAUAUGCAUUAGAGAGUAUUAAGUUGAGUUAUUAAAUUUAGGGUUUGUUAUAUUCUAACGACUAAUUUUCAAUUCCAUUGAAAUGAUUUAUAGGUGAUAAAUUUUACAAUUUAAUACGAUUAAUUUUAUUAUAUUACAAUGAAAAACAAAAGAAAAAGAAGAAUUUAAUAUGGUUCAAAGUUUUUAAAUAAAUCUGGACCAUAUACUUGUAGACAAACCUUUACCAUUAAUCUAUUCCAACUUCAAUGAGAACGACCAAGACAAUGCAAGUCUCAAUAGUCCUGUUUGAAACGCAAAAGCAUUCAAGUGGUUGAGAGCAGCAAGCCUGAUCCCUUUUGUCCUUUUGUGUUAUGUAAGUCAAUUGUAGAGAACGAUUGUUGGAUAUUUCUAAAACGUAAGUUAAUAGUUAGAACCCUUGAGCAACGCACAUUCCACCCCAACCCAUGCAUAACGUUAGACAAGACUCAAUGACUAAUUGUAUAUAUUUUUAAUUUUAUUCAACAACUACAUAAGUAUAUUUUUAAAUGAUUGUUAAUAUAAUUACAUGUAUUUUCAUCUAUUUUAUAUGAAUUUAAAAUAUUACAAAUUAAAUAUAAUAUAAGAUAUAAGUUCUAUUCAAUUAAAUUUAAAUUUAAAUUCAAAUUUUAAAUUAUCCAACAAUAUAAAUAGUAGACAUAAAUUCAAAGAAAAAAAUUUGGGGUUUAGCUGGAAAAUUACCUCUCAAAUUCCACUAAAAUAAAUAAAUAGAGUUUAACUCGAAGAUUACCUCUCAAAUUUAACUGAAAUAUGAAACAUACUCAAUAAUAAAGGUAUCAAUUCAAAGGUAUAAAGCUACAUAAAUUCUUAGUUAUGUCUUUGAAAUAUUUUCAUAAAGGCACGUGCAAAAACUUUUUGAUUCUAAACAAAUUCAUUGUCUCAACAUUACUUGUCGAAACCGUUUUUUGAAAACAAAGAUCUAGUUGUCGACUUUAAAAAUAAAACAGCAGUCGCCACCGAUCCUUUAUUAAGGUGUGAUCGGCUCACCUUUAAAAAUUAUUUUGGUCUACGAAUUUUGAGAAAACGAGUUCGGGAGUCAGUUACGCACGAGGAAGGGUUAGCACCCUCGUAACGCCCAAAAUCGGUACCAAAUUGGUUAUUUGAUGUCUUAGUGUCGAAGGUUAAAAAGAUUUUUAAAAUAAACUCAAUUGAUGGAAUUUGAAAAAGGAUAAUCAAUUGUUCAAGUCAUGUAAAGAAAUCGAGUCCCAAUACGUUAGGGUACAAUUCCUCAUAAUCCCCGAACUUUGAAUAUCACUUUAUUUUAUGUGAAAAUCUUCCUUUUGAGAAAGUAACAUGCCACACCAAAUACGUUAGGACACGACAUGUUAAGUUCCAAAAAAUGAUUUUUAUACUCAUGCAUUUUGAAUAAAGAAUAUUCUCGGUUAUUUUAGAUUGACAAAGAAAAUCGGAACCCAAUACGUUAGGGCUCAAUUCCCUCGAAAAUCCCAAACUUCGAAUAUUGCUUUUAUUCAAAAAAAAACUUUGAAUCAAGAGAAUAAUUUCAAUGUUUUGUCAAAAACCAAAAUAUAUCUUCUUGUUCAAAAGGAAAUGACAUAAUGUUAAUAGACAACAUGGAAUACAUACAUUAAUUUAAAUUAUACAUGUACAUGUAUUAUGAAAUGUCAAUGCAUAUAUAUACAUGUAUGCAAAAAGUUAUGGAAAUAAAAUAAUAAAAUAUAUAAAAUAUGGACAUGUAUUUACCAAAUAUGUAUAUAUAUACACACAUAUAUUUAUGAAAAAUAAAAACGUAUUUAGAGUCAUACAGAUAUAUAUAAAUCAUUAAAUAUAUGGAAAAAAAUGAAAAUAUGUAUAUAAAAGAUGUAUGUAUAUAGGUAUAUAUUUACAAAAUAAAAAAAAUGUAUAAGUAUACACGUAUUGGUAAAUCAUGAAAAUACAUAUAUGUAUAUUAAAAUACUUAUAUAUAUGUACAAUAUAUGUAUAAAUAAUGGAGUAUAUAUAGAAUAAUAAAAUAUUUAUAAUAACUCAAAAAUACAAAAAAAAUGUAUAUAUAUAAUAUAAAAAAUGUGUAUUUUGAAUUGUAAAAUAUGAGAAACAUGUGUGGAUUUUAAAAUGUAUAUGUAUACAUACAUAUAUAUAUGUUUGUAAAAAAAAUAAAAAUUAUGAAGAAUAAUAUAAAAACAUACAUAUACACGUAUUUACAAAAGUAAAAAAAAAUUUGAAGCUGAAAUAUAAAAGUAUAUAUAUAACUGUCAUUGAAGGGCGAUCAGAAGGUAGUAAUUGUAUACACCAAAAAGCAAUUAUUAUCAUCUUCUUUACCAUUACUUUUUCAUCGUCAGAAAUACCUCCGAACUCCAAGUCCUCUCCUUGAUCCAAUUGGUCAUAAAUCCAAGAUGGAAAAUAUAUUUGACUAGUGUGGUCAGCAAAUGCAUUCACAUUCUUUCUCCUUCCAACAAUUUCCAUCAAUACAUUCCAAAACUAUAAACAUCAGCUUUGUAUGAGAUGCCUCAAUGUAAAGCGAUGAUUUUAUAGGUUUCGUGCAAUUCAUAACAUAAAUAAUGCUAACCUCUAACCUUCUAUCAUAAUAAUUACCAUAAGGAUAAAUAUAAGAAUAAGAAAAGAAUCUACAAAAGUAACUAAGAGGAAGGGAGUUGCAAUCAUCCGUGUCCAACAAUCAACCCCUCCCAGAGUAGGCUGUCGAGGAGCCUCCUGCACAUCAUAAAUAGCACGAGUUGUACGCCCCAAAGCAUUUGCCAAGGACCAUCAAGAUGAAGGUCAAUAACAUUUGUGUAAAUUUGGAGUGCUACCUUACAGCCAAAACUAACAGAAUAGUGACUGUUUGGAUUGAAAUGCCAAUUAUGAGUCAGUUCGGAGUCGGAUACAAGCAAAGUAGCAUUCGAAGCAUCCGUUGCGCAUCUUAGGAGAUAGAAGACCUUGAGUUACAUGAUUUCAUUUUGAGUAUUGAAAAUUGAAAAUAGGAUAAGUACCAACCACUAAUAUAUUAUCAGCAAAAUCUCCCAAUUGAAAGAACAAAAGAUGCAUCUAUACUAUGUUUAAAAGUUUAAUAGAGUUUAUGGUUAUCUAUCAAUGAGGUAUCAACUCAAUUGUAAAAUCAUUAAAAUCUUAUUAUUUUUAAAAACAAAAAAAAUUAUAUUGAGAGUAUUUUUAUUUUUUAUUAAACUUUAUAAAAUACAUCAAUUUAAUAGAAUUUGAACCCAAAACAUCAUAAUCCUUGUACAGACCCAAUUUCUGCCCGGCCCACUAACAAAAAGAACCCAAUACCCACAAACCCAAUAACCCACCUAAACACUAACCCAUACCAGCAGACCCAAUUACCAGGCCCAGUGGCCCAAAAUUUUAAAAUCAUUUCAGAAACCCUAAUCCCCUUAACCCUAGCCGCCUCUUCUGAUCUUUCUGCUACUACUGCCGCCAUCACCUACCCUCUGCCACCGCCACUGUUUCGCCCACUUGCACCACCUGCUCCACCUGCAAAACAAAGGAGAACACGCAAACAAAGAAGGACAAAACAGUAGAAACAAUAAUAAAAUAAAUUGUGUAAAAAUGGCUAUAUAAAGGCCAUUCAAACGAAUUGUAAGGGGUUCGGCCCCUCUUUCACUAUUUCAAGAAAUAAAAAGGGCAAAGAAAACGGAUUCAAGAAAUUUUUCUUUUGGUAUAAACUCUAUUUUCUUUUAUUUAUAUUUUUCUCUUUAUUUUUCUUCCAUCCGAAACUGUUUGAUCCUUUAUUCUUAUUUUUAUUUUUCUUUUAUUUUUAAAAACAUAUAUAUAUAAAUAUAAUAUAUAGAUUUUAAAAUAAAAAAUAAUACCUUUUUUGAAUUUUUUGGCCACCAUACACGGUGGCCGGCGCGACGACGGAGCGGCGGCGACGUGGUGGCCAAGUUCGUCGGAUUCUGGGCAGUGCUGGAGAGGGGGAGAGAAUAUUUUUGAGAAGAAGAGUUUUUUUUUUUUAAGGAAAGCUGAAAAUGAUUUUUUUGGGGGGAAACCUUGACUUUUAUAGGCCCCCCAAAACGACGUCGUUUUGGGCAAGCCUCUUAGGUACCAAAACGGCGCCGUUUUAAGGCCGGCCUGAAAACCGACCCGACCCGCCUGAAGGAUCCGCGUGUUUUCGACGGAAGGGAUAAUUGCGUUUUCAGGCCUUCCGCUUUUAAAUAAUUUUGCAAUCAAGUUCUUUCCUUUUUUUAAAAUUCGCCCUAUAUUUUAUUUUCAUUCACAAUCUGGUCCACUUUGAAAUGCAGUGUUUUGGAGGGUGGGGAUUAUUUCCAUUUUGGUCCCCCUCUUUCCGAGCGUGUCACAAUUUAGUCUUUUCAGUCUUUUUUAUUUGAAAUUCGCUCAGUAUUUUUAUUUUUACUUCGAUUUAGUCCCUUUUUUAGUAGUAUUAUUAUUAUUAUUAUUAAUUAUUGCUAGUUUUAUUUUCCUUAAACCUAUUCGUCACUGCUUUGAUUAGUAUGUUAACUUGUUUCAUUAUUAUUAUAGCUUUCUUUUUUAUAAUAUAUGUACAUAUACCUAUGAAUAUUUUAUAUAUAUAUAUGCAUACAUAAUUAUAUACAUAUAUAUACCUUAUAAUAUUAAUGCGUACAUAGUUUUAUUUAUUAAAUAUUUUUAUACUCUAUAUUUUUAUACACUUGUAUAUAUACAAACAUCUAUGUUUCAAUUCAUAUAAAUAUAUGUACGUAUACAUAGUUAUGUGCUUUAUGUACCUAUUAUAAUUUGUUUACAUGUUUAUAUAUAUCUAUACAUAUAUUUUUAUAUUUCGUGAUAGUUAUAUGUACACAUAUACAUGUAAAUACUUAUAUUUUAUGCCUCAUAAUAUAUAUAUUUUCAUAUUUUCAUAUUUUAUGAUUUUCAUCUAUUUUCCUUUAUUGUUAUUGUAAUUUUCAUGUGUAUUUGUUUAUUUAUUUAUAUGUCUAUUUUUUUAUGUUUUAGUUUUUUUUAUUUGUUAUGAUAUAUGCACAAUUAAUUUAGUUUAUUAUUUGUUUUGUUUUUUUUUAUUCACACAAUCAUGUUCAAUAUUUCAUUAUGCAUAUAAAUAUCAUAUUUCAAAAGGAAAAAUAUUUCUAAAUGAGGCAAUGUUUUGCGUUUGGAAGUUCGAGAAAACAUGCCCUAAGGUGCUGGGUGUCGAUUUUUCUUGUUCAACCAAAUAGCUUAAUAUCCUUUUAAAUUUUUAAAAUAAGGCAAUGUUUUGCGUUUGGAAAUUCGAGAAAACAUGCCCUAAGGUGCUGGGUGUUGAUUUUUCUCGUUCAACCAAAUGGCUUAAUAUCCUUUUAAAAUUUUUAAAAUAAGGCAAUGUUUUACGUUUGGAAAUUCGAAAAAACAUGCCCUAAGGUGCUGGGUGUCGAUUUUUCUCGUUCAACCAAAUAGCUAAACAUCCUCUUGAAUUUAAAUUCAUGCCAUUCGAGUUUUUAGGAUCGUAUUUUAAAUUUCUUUGAAGUUUUCAGUUUUUCGACACUAAGACAUUAAGUAAUCAACUAGGUACCAAUUUUGGGCGUAUCGAGGUUGCUAAUCCUUCCUCGUGCGUAAUCGACUCCCGAACCCGUUUUUCUGAAUUUCGUGGACCAAACUUGUUGUUUUAAUAAAAUCAAAUUGUUUAUUAAAAACAACCACUUUUUGAGGUGAUCCGAUCACACCUCAACAAAAAGGAUCGGUGGCGACUCCCGUUUUCGUUCUCAUUUUUCAAAACCCAAGUCGACCCCAUUUUCCAUCCAAAAAAAUGGUGUCAACAGCUUGGCGACUCCACUGGGGACUUUAAAUAAGAGAGUCAAGCCACGAGUUGAUUAUUUCUUGUCUUUUUUGUCGAAAGUUGAAAAUUUGAUUUAAAUAUACGAUCCUCUCAUUGCAUUCCAUUUGUUUUGAGUUAUAGUUUUCAUUAUGUUUUGUAUUUUAAAUUUUUAUAUCUUUCUGCACAUUGCAUUGCAUGACCGUUAGUCACACCUUUUAAGUGGGAGUGAGAAGCUACUCCUUCGUGAGGUUUUCACCUCCGUACAGGAUAGUGGAUCGCUUUCGGGAUACAUCCGUACCUGUGUCUUCGUGAGAUUUUCAUCUCCGUGCAGCCAUAGGGAAAUGUAUUCCCCUGAAUUGAACUCGGUCUGUAUGAGCCUAUAAUGGGUGAAGAUCGAGGAAUAUGCUGGUUCGGGUACCUUAUCUUUAGAACCAACCCACAUAUAGUGGACUUAGGAACUUAACCUAGGUAGAGCCACUCCAAAUCCCUAGUAUUUACCUGAUUAGGUUUUUUUUUUGUUUUCCGUGCUUGCUUAUGUUUUGUUCUAACCCUUCUUGUUGUGUUUUGAUUAUGAUUGCAUUACAUUGCAUUUGCAUCUUAGGAAAGAGAUAUUGAUUCAAGUUCGAUUACUAAAUUAGAAAGCUUGUCAUGGAAUACGGAUUCCUUGAUAAAGUGGAAAACAAUACGACUGCCCGAAUAUAUUCUGAGAAACACAAGAAUGGCGAUGUAAGAGUUUGUGAUCCUACUUCGUGGCCUAAGGAUUCAAGGAAAUUGUCUAAGAGCCUUCAACAUUCCACUCACUUAAAGAAGCUGACGAGCCUUAUGAAGAUGGGCAGAUGAUGGAUCACGACCAAGAUCAAGAAAAUGAGCUAGCAGUGACAUUUAUUGAAAAUUGGCGAGAUUACCUUAAACAUGCGGAUAAAGAAAAAAGGACCGAUGUUUCUUGGAAUAUGACGGUGAGGCCGUACAUAUAUCCGUUUUAUGUAAGGGAAUUUGUUUUCUAGAAAAGUUUCCUAAAUGUAAUUGAAUCAGAAUCAACGUCUCUUUAGGCAUUCAUUUCAUGCAUUUGCAUUACAUUGCAUUACAUGCAUUGAAAGAGUCUAAACGAGUAAAUUUAUUUCAGCUAACCUGGAAAACCAACCAACCAAACAAAGACUAGAGAAAUGGAACGAAGGUUGGAAAAAUUAGAGCGAAUGCAGAUUCAGAUGCAGGAGCAAUUAACUGAAUUUCAACAGGAGACGAGAGAUCAGAUGCUAGAAUUACGGAGAACUAUGAUAAACCAGUUUAACCGAUUGCUAGCUGGAAAGUCAAAAGAAGUGAAAGACCCGGUGGUUUACUUUGGGGUUGAUAAUGAGGAUCUUGUCUAUUCCUUAGAUUGUACUCCGACAAGUGUCCAGGUUCAGCUAGAUGGGCGUCCACAAUGAGCACUUUUUACUGUCGGAUCCCAAUAUUAUCAGACUGGUACAUCGACACCAGUGAAUUGCCUGACAGGCUUAGAAUCCAAUUUGAGGAAUGAUUUAGCUAGUCCUGUUGCUAAUCUAGCCGAAAUAAAGAAGAUGAGGAUAGAAUACCCAGAUACUAAAAAGGCACUAGGGAAGAAGGCGAAUAAAGAGGAUAAUGCAGGCAGAUAUAACAAGGGCCACUCAAAACCAAUCACUACAGGCCGGCCAAAGACAGAAACCACCAGACAUCGGAAUCCUUUAAAGCAAGAAUCUGGAGCGAAACCAGGUACUGAGAAGCUCCAGUUCAUACCAAUUCUGAUGUCAUAUAGUGAGUUAUACCGAAGCUUAUUUGAUGCACGUGUGGUGUCCCCCUUCUACUUAAAACCCAUACAGCCUCCGUAUCCCAAAUGGUAUGACACGAACGUAUAAUGCGACUACCAUGCGAGAAUUACGGGGCAUUCAAUAGAGAACUGCAUUGCCUUUAAGAAACUGGUUGAAAAGCUCAUUAAUAUGGGGGUUGUCAGAUUUGAUGACUCGUCUAGCGCAGAAAAUCUACUACCUAGCCAUAUUGAUAAUGGGGUAGACAUGAAGGUAGGAAGGGGAUCAGUUAUUUCUGAUUCAGGAGGAAAUAAGGGAAAGACACGGAACCAUUGCGAUUUCCAUCAUGAGAGAGGGUUCGAGACCCAAGAGAGUGUGGAAUUCAAGGCCUUGGUUCAGGACAUGAUGGACGAUAAGGGGAUGAAGCUUCGUGAGGAAAUUAAAGAGGAGGAAAACAUACGUUCAAUGUUGGCAAGCGUUCACACCAAUGACAUAUUUGAAGACACGAAUGAAAAGGAACCUUGUUAGAUAUCUGCCCUUAUAAAUCUGGAGUGUUCUAAGCAACUGGGCUGCGAAAAAAAUCCCUUUAGUUUUUAGGGCUUAUCUAGAGUAAUGUUCAGAACAUUUUGUUGUUUUAGCCUAAAGCGAUAUAAAUUCCUUUGUGAAAUAGGUUAAUGUAUGAACGUUAUUAUUCUAAUAAAAUACAUCUUUGCAUUCCUUUUUGAGCUAAUAUUCUUUCAUUUAUUUUGAAUAAUUAUUUCUGAUUCUUUCAUUCUUUUGAAUUUUCUUCCAAACCAUCAUUCAUUCAUUCAUUCAUAAUUAUAUGAUACAAAUAAUUAUUCAUGAAUCUAUACAUUCUUUUGUAUAUUCUUUGGUACUUGCUAUGGGUCCCCGGAUAUCAAUUACGUGAAUGACUGCUACAGACCCAGAUUUUCCUUUUGAGUGAGGCAUGUGUUCAGAGGGAUCUCAAUGCUUUGAAAAUGAUAAAGAUUGUAGUUUAUCUCCUAACUUGUUAAGGAUGGUUGAACAAGAGGAUAGACAGAUCCUACCUCACAAGGAAUCAUCAGAAAUUGUGAGCUUAGCGAGGAUUAGAAUUGACCUGAUCGCAGAGACGAAGCAACACCUUGUUGAGGCACCUCUAGAUUUCGAAGAGAUCUUUGUAGGAUCAUACCAGGAUAUGCCUGGGUUAAAUGCCGAUAAUGAAAUCUGCACAACAGCACGAUGUCAGAAAUUUACAGUAUGAAUGAUGUAAUUCUUUACCGGGGCAAUGUCUUUCUCGUGGAGUCAGCAUAGUUUUGCCCAUUUGAAGUUGAAUUUCCGUCUCUUCAAGUUGUUGUUGGGUCCAUCCUGAUUAAAGAGGAAGAUCCAAAGUUUUUUGUCGAAGUUGCAUCCCAAAAGGCUCAGAUCAAAAAAGUGAAGAAAAAGAAAAAUCAAAAUCAAAGUCAAAAUGAAAAUGAAAAUGAAAAUGAAAAUGAAAAUGAAAAUGAAAAAAUCAAAAAUCAAAAUAAAAAAAACAAAAAGAAGAAAGAAGAAAAAAAUCAAAAUCAAGAUCAAAAUAAAAAUGAGAAAAAGAAAGAAGAAUGAAAAAGGAGAAAUCUAGAUGAAAAAAUCAGAAUGAAAAAGAAAAGAAAAAAGAAAAGGAGAGGCUAAAGCGAAAACUCGCAAAGGGCGCUUUGUGACCAAAUGAGGUUUUGAAUUGAAAACCCGAAAAGGGCGACUCAAAUUUCGAGCACAAUGAGGCAUGAACAUCACCAUUAUCAGAGACUUCUAAUGGGCAUUGCUUCAUUUUGAGAGGCUACUUCAUGAGCCAAAGUCAUCGUAUACCGAUACAGAAUUUCAGAGAAGAGGUUAUUGGAGAAUGCAUUGAGCUUAAACAAUAGCACGAUCGCUGAGGUCUCAAAUUAACUCAGAAGUGGACACCACGAUUCGUCACUGAAUUGCCUAGAAUUGAACAUCGAAAAUUGAAGGAAAAUGACUGAGACUUAGGGUCUGUUUGAUUGCCAGUAAAAUGUUUUCCGUAAAAUGAUUUCUGGAAAAUGGUUUACUUUUCUGUAAAAUGAUUUACUGGAAAAUAUUUUCUGGUGUUUGACUGAAUCUGUGUAAAAUAUUUUUUGCUGUUUGGCAGAUUUUCUGAAAAUAUUUUCGAAAAAGUUGUUUUUACAUAUAUUAAUAUAUAUUAAUAAUUUUUUAUAUUUUAAAUUAUUUUUACAUAUAUUGCAAUGAUUUAUUUAUAAUAAUACUCAAUUAUUAAGCUACAAUAUUAGUCGUUAUAAAUUGAAAAAAACUAAUAUCAAAUAAAUUAUUUGUAAUUGUGUUAAAAAAACAAGUAUUGAAUAAUUAAAAAAACAAGUUAUUGGAAAAUCGAUAAACAGAAGCAGUUUUCUACCGGAAAUGAAGGAAGGAAUGAAGGAAGCGAUAAAGAGGAGAGCACGGAAAAUGUCUUACGGAAAUUGAAAGGGUAAGACAUUUUCCCUAAAAUGUAACCCAUUUUCCCUUGUUUUGGAGUUCAUUUUCCAAAUGGAAAAUGUUUUCCGCCAAUCAAACGCUGAAAAAGUUGAAAAUGAUUUUCCGGAAAAUCAAUUCCGUCAAUCAAACAGACCCUUACAAGGAUUGGCAUGAGAAAUUACUAUUUGCCUUCCUUGCUUGUCGAACAUCUGUACCGGGGCAAUACCUUUCUCUUUGGUUUGCGGGGUUUAGGUAGUUUUACCUAUUGAAAUCCUUUCUCUCCAGGUAUUAUUUGAGCUAGAAUUGGAUGAAGCAGAAUGGAUCCAAUCGCGAUGAGAUCAGUUGAACCUAGAAAAAAGGUUAAAAGCUAUUCUUCAGGGUCGGAUGUACCGGAAACAAGUGAUACGAGCCCAUAAUGAACAGUGUCAUAUCAGAGAAUUCCACGAGAGGGUUGGAUGUCGAAAAAGAUCAUUCCUCUCUAAAAAUGAUUCCAGAGGGAAAUAAAUGCCAAACCGGGAAUGUCCCUACGUUGUAAAGAAGACAUUCUUCAGAAGAGCACUGAUCUUGAGUAAGAUUGCUAGUCCUAUAAACUCGGAUCCAGUCAAGAAAUACUUCGUUUAAAGAAUGAGGAAGGACCAAGGUGAAAACCCGCAAAGGGCACUCUAAGUCAAAAAAAAUGAAAUGAAAAAUGAGAAUGAAAAAUAAAAAAUAAAAAAUAGAGAGGCUAAGGGGAAAACCCGGAAAGGGCGCCUUAGGCCAAAGGGGAUUUGAGUUGAAAACCUGAAAAUGGCGGCUCAAAUAUUUGUUCAGAAUGGGGCAUGAGGCGAUCAGAGCGAUUCGAAUUUUGAUCAUAUUGGGGCAUGUGGUGAUCUUGCUAUGCCUGAAUCAACAGGAAAGGAUAGACGACAUCUUGGGGCAUCGACAGAGCACUGUAGAUCUCCUAAACACAUGUCCAACUCAAAAUGGUCUUCAGAAAGUUUGUACAGAGAAGUUCAAGUAGCGAUAUCUGGAGCACCCAAUCCUCACAUUAUUUGUUAUUCUUGGAAUAUUUUUUCUUUCCAAGAUAUACAUCCCCAAUUAAUUUCUUCGUCAUCCUUCUUUACAAUUUUUGGUAAUUUAUUCCUUUUGAGCUAUGCUCAGAAUCAAUUUUAUUCUUAUCCAUUGUUAUGACCCUUUUUGCAAAGCAUGUUGCAUUAGAAUAAUGAUUAAUGGACUAAUAAUACUUUCACAAUGGAAGUUUUGCAUAUUACUCUAGAAGUUUCUAAAUAAUAUAGGAGCCUAAAGCAGUACUAUUGUUUAGAACACACCAAUUUUUAAAGGUUGGAAAUUUGAGAAGGAAUAGUCUAAAUUUAGACUUUCUCUUUGGAUUUUUGUUUUCAAGUGCACUGAAUGAACAAAAUGACAAGAUGCCAUGUCAAUGGCAAAGCUUAAACGAACAAACAAGCAAUGAUCAUCAGGCAAUAGGAAGAGGUUACCUCGGAGAAGAGAGCCUUCAUUUGUGCAUGAGCAUUUGGUAUGACACCUUGGGGAUGAGGUAAAGGACCAAAGAGUUUCACAUUCAAUAUCAUUGAAUUGCGAUAGGAGAAGAUUGAGAAAGGCCAUACAUUUCUACCCUUUGGUUAUAGUGGGAGAUUGAUGGUGCAAAUUUUAUGUCCCAGUGGAUUGAACUUUGACGUUCAUAGUGGGGGGCAAUCAGAUUAAGUGAUCCUUUGGAUAUGCUAGCCGAGCAAGAAGGUGGUAUAGCACGUCAGUAAUAAAGCCUUAAUAUGCUUUUGUGUGAUGAUAACCUAAGCAUUAAGGAAUCAUUUUCAUGACAUUUUGCAUGUCAUUCAUACACAUCUAGUUAGGAGCAUUUGAUUCGUUCUGAUCAUGUCAUCCUAAUCUCUAGGCACAAUUAGGUUCAUAAAAUAGAACAUACAGGUCAUGUUCCCUAGAGAACAAAUCAGUGAACAUCGAAAACAAAGCCUUGCCUUCAUUGGUUACAGUGAAGCUGGUUAAAGAAGCAGAUCUUGCCUUCCAGCAUUAACAGCGAAGCAGAUCGAAAACAAAUCAUUGCCUUCAUUGGUUACAGUGGAGCUGGUUAAAGAAGCAGAUCUUGCCUUCCUGCGUUAACAACGAAGCAGAUCGAAAACAAUCCUUGCUUCAUUGGUUACAGUGGAGCUGGUUAAAGAAGCAGAUCUUGCCUUCCUACGUUAACAACGAAGCAGAUCGAAAACAAGCCUUGCCUUCAUUGGUUGCAGUGGAGCUGGUUAAAGAAGCAGAUCUUAUCUUCCUACAUUGACAGCGAAGUAGAUCGAGGACACAAGCCUUGCCUCCCUUAGUUGUAGGGGAGCAGAUCAAAGACAGCAAAUCUUAUCUUCAAGUGUAAGGAAGCGGAUUUAAGCCACAAGUCCUAUGUCCCUGACCAGCAGUGGAAUAGGUUGGAAAUUUCAGAUCUUAUCUCCCUGAGGUUACAGCGGAGCAGAUCGAAGACAUAAUCCUAUCUCCCUGAAGUUACAGUGGAGCGGAUUAAAAUAAAGGAUCUUAUCUCUCUGAAGUUACAGUAGAGUAGAUCGCAUCAGGUCUUAUUUCCCUGAGGUUACAGCGGAGUAGACCGAAAAAUUUCAGAUCUUAUCUCCCUGAGGUUACAGCGGAGCAGAUCGAAGACAUAAUCCUAUCUCCCUGAAGUUACAGUGGAGCGGAUUAAAAUAAAGGAUCUUAUCUCUCUGAAGUUACAGUAGAGUAGAUCGCAUCAGGUCUUAUCUCCUUGAGGUUACAGCGAAGUAGACCGAAGAAUUGCAGAUCUUAUCUCCCUGAGGUUACAGCGGAGCAGAUCGAAGAUAUAAUCCUAUCUCCCUGAAGUUACAGUGGAGCGGAUUAAAAUAAAGGAUCUUAUCUCUCUGAAGUUACAGUAGAGUAGAUCGCAUCAGGUAUUAUUUCCCUGAGGUUACAGCGGAGUAGACCGAAGAAUUGCAGAUCUUAUCUCCCUGAGGUUACAGCAGAGCAGAUUAAAGACAUAAUCCUAUCUCCCUAAAGUUACAGUGGAGCGGAUUAAAAUAAAGGAUCUUAUCUCUCUGAAGUUACAGUAGAGUAGAUCGCAUCAGGUCUUAUUUCCCUGAGGUUACAGCGGAGUAGACUGGAGAAUUGCAGAUCUUAUCUCCCUGAGGUUACAGCGGAGCAGAUUAAAGACAUAAUCCUAUCUCCCUGAAGUUACAGUGGAGCGGAUUAAAAUAAAGGAUCUUAUCUCUCUGAAGUUACAGUAGAGUAGAUCGCAUCAGGUCUUAUUUUCCUGAGGUUACAGCGGAGUAGACCGAAGAAUUGCAGAUCUUAUCUCCCUGAGGUUACAGCGGAGCAGAUUAAAGACAUAAUCCUAUCUCCCUGAAGUUACAGUGGAGCGGAUUAAAAUAAAGAAUCUUAUCUCUCUGAAGUGGCAGUAGAGUAGAUUACGUCCAAGUCAAAUCUCCCUGAAGUUGCAGUGGAGUAAGUUAAAAUCCCAAACCUCACCCCCUGAAGGUACAACAGAGUGGAUUGAAGCUACAAGUCUUGUCUUUUUGAAGUUGCAGCGGAAUGGAUAGAAGCAACAAUGUACAGUGGACUGGAGUGAAGCUACUUGAAGAGAAGCGUCAAGAGAAGUCAAGACUCGGCGAAACCGGGCAAAAAAUUGGUCUUUCUUAGUCUUUGCUCUGUUAUCGUUACACGACAAUGAGCAAAGAGGGGCAGCUGUACAAACCCAAUUUCUGCCCGGCCCACUAACAAAAAGAACCCAAUACCCACAAACCCAAUAACCCACCUAAACACUAACCCAUACCAGCAGACCCAAUUACAAGGCCCAGUGGCCCAAAAUUUUAAAAUCAUUUCAGAAACCCUAAUCCCCCUAACCCUAGCCGCCUCUUCUGAUCUUUCUGCUACUACUGCCGCCAUCACCUACCCUCUGCCACCGCCACUGUUUCGCCCACUUGCACCACUUGCUCCACCUGCAAAACAAAGGAGAACACGCAAGCAAAGAAGGACAAAACAGUAGAAACAAUAAUAAAAUAAAUUGUGUAAAAAUGGCUAUAUAAAGGCCAUUCAAAUGAAUUGUAAGGGGUUCGGCCCCUCUUUCACUAUUUCAAGAAAUAAAAAGGGCAAAGAAAACGGAUUCAAGAAAUUUUUCUUUUGGUAUAAACUCUAUUUUCUUUUAUUUAUAUUUUUCUCUUUAUUUUUCUUCCAUCCGAAACUGUUUGAUCCUUUAUUCUUAUUUUUAUUUUUCUUUUAUUUUUAAAAACAUAUAUAUAUAAAUAUAAUAUAUAGAUUUUAAAAUAAAAAAUAAUACCUUUUUUGAAUUUUCCGGCCACCGUACACGGUGGCCGGCGCGACGACGGAGCGGCGGUGACGUGGUGGCCAAGUUCGUCGGAUUCUGGGCAGUGCUGGAGAGGGGGAGAGAAUAUUUUUGAGAAGAAGAGUUUUUUUUUUUAAUGAAAGCUGAAAAUGAUUUUUUUUGGGGGAAACCUUGACUUUUAUAGGCCCCCCAAAACGACGUCGUUUUGGGAAAGCCUCUUAGGUACCAAAACGGUGCCGUUUUAAGGCCGGCCCGAAAACCGACCCGACCCGCCUGAAGGAUCCGCGUGUUUUUGACGAAAGGGAUAAUUGCGUUUUCAGGCCUUCCGCUUUUAAAUAAUUUUGCAAUCAAGUUCUUUCCUUUUUUUAAAAUUCGCCCUAUAUUUUAUUUUCAUUCACAAUCUGGUCCACUUUGAAAUGCAGUGUUUUGGAGGGUGGGAUUAUUUCCAUUUUGGUCCCCCUCUUUCCGCGCGUGUCACAAUUUAGUCUUUUCAGUCUUUUUUAUUUGAAAUUCGCUCAGUAUUUUUAUUUUUACUUCGAUUUAGUCCCUUUUUUAGUAUUAUUAUUAUUAUUAUUAAUUAUUGCUAGUUUUAUUUUCCUUAAACCUAUUCGUCACUGCUUUGAUUAGUAUGUUAACUUGUUUCAUUAUUAUUAUAGCUUUCUUUUUUAUAAUAUAUGUACAUAUACCUAUGAAUAUUUUAUAUAUAUAUAUGCAUACAUAAUUAUAUACAUAUAUAUACCUUAUAAUAUUAAUGCGUACAUAGUUUUAUUUAUUAAAUAUUUUUAUACUCUAUAUUUUUAUACACUUGUAUAUAUACAAACAUCUAUGUUUCAAUUCAUAUAAAUAUAUGUACGUAUACAUAGUUAUGUGCUUUAUGUACCUAUUAUAAUUUGUUUACAUGUUUAUAUAUAUCUAUACAUAUAUUUUUAUAUUUCGUGAUAGUUAUAUGUACACAUAUACAUGUAAAUACUUAUAUUUUAUGCCUCAUAAUAUAUAUAUUUUCAUAUUUUCAUAUUUUAUGAUUUUCAUCUAUUUUCCUUUAUUGUUAUUGUAAUUUUCAUGUGUAUUUGUUUAUUUAUUUAUAUGUCUAUUUUUUUAUGUUUUAGUUUUUUUUAUUUGUUAUGAUAUAUGCACAAUUAAUUUAGUUUAUUAUUUGUUUUGUUUUUUUUUAUUCACACAAUCAUGUUCAAUAUUUCAUUAUGCAUAUAAAUAUCAUAUUUCAAAAGGAAAAAUAUUUCUAAAUGAGGCAAUGUUUUGCGUUUGGAAGUUCGAGAAAACAUGCCCUAAGGUGCUGGGUGUCGAUUUUUCUCGUUCAACCAAAUAGCUUAAUAUCCUUUUAAAUUUUUAAAAUAAGGCAAUGUUUUGCGUUUGGAAAUUCGAGAAAACAUGCCCUAAGGUGCUGGGUGUUGAUUUUUCUCGUUCAACCAAAUGGCUUAAUAUCCUUUUAAAAUUUUUAAAAUAAGGCAAUGUUUUAUGUUUGGAAAUUCGAAAAAACAUGCCCUAAGGUGCUGGGUGUCGAUUUUUCUCGUUCAACCAAAUAGCUAAACAUCCUCUUGAAUUUAAAUUCAUGCCAUUCGAGUUUUUAGGAUCGUAUUUUAAAUUUCUUUGAAGUUUUCAGUUUUUCGACACUAAGACAUUAAGUAAUCAACUAGGUACCAAUUUUGGGCGUAUCGAGGGUGCUAAUCCUUCCUCGUGCGUAAUCGACUCCCGAACCCGUUUUUCUGAAUUUCGUGGACCAAACUUGUUGUUUUAAUAAAAUCAAAUCGUUUAUUAAAAACAACCACUUUUUGAGGUGAUCCGAUCACACCUCAUCAAAAAGGAUCGGUGGCGACUCCCGUUUUCGUUCUCAUUUUUCAAAACCCAAGUCGACCCCGUUUUCCAUCCAAAAAAAUGGUGUCAACAAUCCUUAUUACCUAAAUUUUACCAUACCAAACAAAGCCACAUUUAGCUUUUAUAUCAUUUUUUAAAUAAUCUAAUAUAUCUUUAUUUAAUAAGUAAUAAUCCCAUAUGCAUUAGAGAGAGUAUUAAGUUGAGUUAUUAAAUUUAGGGUUUGUUAUAUUCUAACGGGUUAUUUUCAAUUCCAUUGAAAUGAUUUAUAGGUGAUAACUUUUACAAUUUAAUACGAUUAAUUUUAUUAUAUUACAAUGAAAAACAAAAGAAAAAGAAGAAUUUAAUAUGGUUCAAAGUUUUUAAAUAAAUCUGGACCAUAUACUUGUAGACAAACCUUUACCAUUAAUCUAUUCCAACUUCAAUGAGAACGACCAAGACAAUGCAAGUCUCAAUAGUCCUGUUUGAAACGCAAAAGCAUUCAAGUGGUUGAGAGCAGCAAGCCUGAUCCCUUUUGUCCUUUUGUGUUAUGUAAGUCAAUUGUAGAGAACGAUUGUUGGAAAUUUCUAAAACGUAAGUUAAUAGUUAGAACCCUUGAGCAACGCACAUUCCACCCCAACCCAUGCAUAACGUUAGACGAGACUCAAUGUCUCAUUGUAUACAUUUUUAAUUUUAUUCAACAACUACAUAAGUAUAUUUUUAAAUGAUUUUUAAUAUAAUUACAUGUAUUUUCAUCUAUUUUAUAUGAAUUUAAAAUAUUACAAAUUAAAUAUAAUUAAUAUAAGAUAUAAGUUCUAUUUAAUUAAAUUCAAAUUCAAAUUCAAAUUCAAAUUUUAAAUUAUCCAAUAAUAUAAAUAGUAGACAUAAAUUUAAAGAAAAAAAUUGGGGUUUAGUUGAGAAAUUACCUCUCAAAUUCAACUAAAAUAAAUAAAGAGAGUUUAACUGGAAAAUUACCUUUCAAAUUUAACUGAAAUAUGAAACAUACUCAAUAAUAAGGGUAUCAAUUCAAAGGUAUAAAGCUACAUAAAUUCUUAGUUAUGCCUUUGAAAUAUUUUCACAAAGGCAUGUGCAAAACUUUUUGAUUCUAAGCAAAUUCAUUGUCUCAAUAUUACUUAUUUAAAAUCAAAUCCACAUUUAUUUUUAAACAAAAUCCAACAAUGUAUUUGGCUCAUCCAACAAUUUAUUUUUAAAUGGCAUUUAUUUAAAAAGAACCAAAUGAGAAUUAUUAUACAACUUUAUAAAGUCGAUGACACAUCCAACAUUAAAAGCACAAAGAAACUAGAUUGGCCAACAACAAAACAAUAAUGCCAACAUUCUCAAAUACCGCAACAAAUUUGUUCUAAAAACAAAAGAUAGCGCAUCGCACUUAGAGCGUAGAAAUACUUGAAUUCAAUCAUUGUAACAACGAAAAAGGAAACAAGACAUCCAACAUCCUCAUCACAAUGGAUUCGCCUCUCACCCGCCAACAACGUCUGCAAUGCAAUAAAACAAGAAGAGGCUAUUGUGGUAGCAACUCUUAUAAAUAUUCCAAAAUUAACUUUUAGAUGCAUCAGGUCUUAAUCUAAGGUAAAGGGUUUAUCCAAACAUGAAAAAUCUAACCAACUCAAUUCAAUUCAACCUAACCUCAACCUAUCUAUAUAGUUUACUUUUAAUUUAUAUAUAAUUUCUUUUAUGAUUUAAAUUUAAAUAUUUUUUAACAAAAAUUUUAAAUACUUAAUAUUGAACAAAUAGUCAUAUUAAUGAAAAUUUGUAAUUAUGAUCAAUAACUUAACACAUAGGUAAAAGUGUUUUUUUUUUUACUUAAUAAUAUUAUUAGCAAUAGUACGUUAUUAAUUGUAUAUGAAAAUAAUGAAGCUUAAAAAUUAAAAUUUAAAGACAAUGCCAUUGUCAAAUUUACUCAAAAUUUAUUUUUAACUAUAGUUAUCCAUGUACAUAUGUGACACACAUAAUAAGAUGCUAAUAUAUAUAAGGCAAAAUAUUAUAAAGUUAAAUGGUGAGAUAAUAAAGUGAAAUGUUUCUAACCUUAUGCAAUAUUUGAACUUGUUAUAGUAACAGUAUCCAAUGAUGUACUUGGCUCAUCAUUAGAGUUCUCACAGCUAUGAAUCUCCAUUGAUGUUUCAAGCGGAAGUUGAUGGAAUGGCUUAGGAGGCAUAUCAAGGAGUUCAACAUCAGAUUCAAGCAUCUUCAAAACUUUACUCAUUGAAGGACGAUCAAAAGGCAGUAAUUGUAUACACCAAAAGGCUGUUAUUACCAUUUUCUUUACCAUUGCUUUUUCAUCGUCAGAAACAUCUCCCAACUCCAAGUCCUCUCCUUGAUCUAAUCGGUCAUAAAUCCAAGAUGGAAAAUAGAUCUGACUAGUGUGGUCAGCAAAUGCAUUCACAUUCUUUCUCCUUCCAACCAUUUCCAUCAGUAACAUUCCAAAACUAUAAACAUCAGCUUUGUAUGAGAUGCCUCCAAGAUUUUUGUAAACCAAUUCUGGAGCAAUAUAUCCUAUCGUUCCUCGUGCCGCAGUGAGAGAGACAAUGCUAUCAUCUACUGAAUACAAUUUAGCAAGACCAAAAUCGGAAACUUUUGGAUUAAAAUUCUCAUCAAGAAGAAUAUUGUGUGGCUUGAUAUCAAAAUGUAGAAUUUGCAUGUCACAUCCUUGAUGUAAGUAGUGAAUUCCUUGAGCCACCCCAAGUACAAUAUCAAACAUUUUUUUCCAGCCCAAAGUGUUCUUAUUUUCUUCUGUAAAUAUGAUUUUAUCUAAAGAUCCAUUAGACAUGAAGUCAUAUACUAGAGCUUGCUUUGAUCCCUCCACACAAAAUCCGAUAAGUUUUGCCACAUUAGCAUGAUGAAUUGUCCCAAUGGAAGCAACUUCGUUUAUGAAAUCUUGGCCAUUACCUUUUGAUUUGCCCAACAAUUUUAUUGCCACAUGAUGGCCGCUACGAAGCUUUCCUUUAAACACUGAGCCAUAACCCCCUUCACCUAAUUUAUCUUUAAAAUUUUUAGUCAUUUUUUUAAUUUCUUUAAAAGAAUACCUUAAUGGCACUAGAUUAUUUUGGCUUUUAAGGAACUCUUCGAUCAUAUCAUCCAUGGAUAAAUGUCUUCUCCUCCAUUUGUACGUGACAAAAGCAAGCAAACAAAUGAUCCCAGGAAAUGACCUCAAGAUAACUCCACCUUUAAAGAAAUACAAUGUAACAUGUUGAAAUUAAUCACAUAAUAUAUAACUUACAUUCUCAGAAAAAAGGAUAUAGUGUGAUAGUUUUAUGUUAACUAGUAUUUGAGAGAGUGGCAUAUUUCACUAGUCUAUGGACUUAACCGAGAGUAGUCUGAAUUAUAUGCAUUGUUUUUGUCAUUAGCAGGUAUAUCUCAACAAAUUAAAAUUCAGAAUUUGAAACACAAAAGGAGUAAAUCAUGCAAAGUGGAUGCCAAUUAUUCUAACCUCACACAUUCCAAUAGAUUUGACAGGGUCAUGACAUUCACCCAAAUUAACACAUUCGUAACCCCAUCCAAUUAGCAAAUUCUAAAGAAAGAACAUGAUUCUUAACCAUGAAGGAUACUCAACUGUUGUUUCUAUUCAUGCCAAAUAAAAUUGAAGAAGGACAAAUUAAAAAUAUAAUAACCUUCAAAUUUCAUAAAUGAAACAAAAUCUAGAACCACCAAAAGAUGCAAGAGAACCCCCCAAAAAACAGAUUUGAUAAAUUCAAGAGCUAACUUUGUUGAAUGUUUUAGCAAAAUGAAUAUCCACCAAACUUAUAACCUGUGAAAGUUCUAAACAAUACCAUUAUGAAAACAAGCUUAACUAAAACUCUAACAUCUUUCUUAACUUGACAAAAAAUUUCUUUCAUAUAGAAGAAGAUUGUAUUCUGCAUUCAAACUCCGUAAAGAGUGUCAUAGCUUUCUUAGUUUUGUAGUGAAAUUAAAUAUAAACUUGUAUAAUAUGAUAGGCUCCUUAUUCUUUUUUUCCCCCAGAAUAUAGCUAAUAUUUGUUCUCAACUAGUGCAAAUGCAAAUCUGCAAAUCUAAAAUUAAAUAUACCUGUUAUUAGCAAACAGAGACGAUAAGCUCCGAAGAAUCUGGAUUAUAUAUUCAACAAAUCAAAGUAAAAUUAAUAAAGGGGUGUAAAGAAAAAUUCCAAAUUUGUAUAAAAAAAUCAAUGGAAGGUAAUUUAAAAAAUUAUAUUAUGUUUUGUGGUAUAUACUCAAAAAAGAAAUACAACAAUUCUUUACAUAUGUUUGCUUGUAAAAAGUAUGCAACAUGUGUUACAGUAUAAGAGUUUUUAGGUAACUAAUAUGAUUUAAUAUAAUGAAAGGUGAGACAAAAUUUAUUCAAAUUAAUUAAUCCAAAAAGUAUAUAUUAUAGCAUUAAAAGAGUUUUUGCCAAAAAAAAUAAACUCAUCCACAAUGGUGGAAUAUUUACGUACUACCAACUAAAUUGAAAAUUCAUCAAAAAUAAAGACAAAAUAAAAAGAUAGACAUAAUCAAAUAUAAUUGUCCAAAAAGAAGACAAAACAGCAGAGAAAGCAGAGGCAGAUACUAAAUUAGAAAUGCUUUUAGUUCAUUUGAUUGUUAGAUGUUGAUCAAUUUUAGAUGCAAAAUCAUCAUACUUAAUUACCAUCAUAAUAUUUAAUUGUGAUAAAUGUAACAUAAAAUAAAACAAAACAAAAAGUAGAUGUUGUAACUAAAAAUUCCAGUAUGAUUCACACUCAAAAUGCAAACUUAAAUUAUUAAAGAAACUUACAUAUCUUUAAACCAAACUUUGUUUUUAUUGUAGUAGCUACUCUCGCUAUCCCAUCAACUCCAUUGGACCCAAAAACCCUCCAAUAAUUUUUUGUAUAUAUCCAGCGUAGACAUGCCUAUUAUAUUAUCAAUCAUAAUUGGAACCUCCGCUUUGAUAGUGCAAGCUUGAUUGAUAUCAGAUGGGUGGGUGUUUCCAUUUAAAAAAUAGAAAUAGAAAGUUGGAAGGGAAGAGGAGGUAUUAGAUUUAAUCGUACAACAAGAAGCCUCAAUAAAAAGUGAUGAUUUUAUAGGUUUCGUGCAAUUCAUAACAUAAAUAAUGUUAAAAUUAUAAGAAAAAUAAUAAUGAUAAUUAGAAAAAAGGUAAAAAUAUGGUUUAAAAUAAGGAUAAGUAUCAUAAUAAUCAGGAUAUACAGAAGUAAGAGGAAGGGAGUUGCAAUCAUCCGUGUCCAAGCUUGCAUCCACCAUUCGUAUUGUAUAAUUUUCGUAAAAGAUUUGUUGGACAGAUAAUUUCCCUCCUCUCCCAACCAAAGUGGUGCGAUUAUUGUUCUCACACUCAAGUUCCAUGACAGGAGAACCACAGUGGGGAGGUUGGUUUUUUAAUCGGAAUGGAAAACUGAUAUUCAAAUUCCCACAGAAAGUAGAGCCGCAGUCUUGGUUAAUAAGACUCCUAGCAAAACAAACAGCAGGAAAUAGAAUUACAAAUAAAGCAACAGAGGGCAUUAGGUGACCCAACAAUGGCAGUUUUGCUUUUAAUUUUGGCAUGCUAAAAUUUUGGGUAAGGAAGAAGAACAGUAAUGGGGGGUUAAUGAUUAAGUUUCUAACUAAACCAGGGAAAUAUAUAAGAAAGCUUCAGUGGGAGAAGAAGCAUUAAUGGGGACACAAGACUUUGACUACUCUUCAGCUUUAUUUGGGAUGAAUAUUUUAUUUUCAAUAAAUUGUUUACACCUUUUAUUCUUUAAUCUUUUUUCUGGGAAGAGCCAUGGUUAUCACAAGCAAAAGAAAAAGGAAUUUUAAUAUUAUUCAAAAAAAAAAAAAAUUGGACCAUAUGCUUGUAGUCGUAGAUCAACGUUUAUGACCUUAAUAAAUUCCAAUUACAAUGAGGAGGACCAAGACAAUGCAAGUCUUUAGUCUUCUUUGAAACACAAAAACAUUUGUUGCAUCUUUUGUAACUAUUUGUUGCAUCAUUCUAAAAAGUAAGUUAAUAGUUAGAAGUGUCAAGCAAGGCGACUCAAUGCCCAAUUGUAUAGAUUCUUUUUAUUUUAUUCCACGAAUACUUCACUACUUUUCAAAUAAUUACAUGAAUUUAAAAUAAAACAAAUUAAAUAUAAGAUAUAAUUUCUAUUUAUUUAAGUUUAAAUUCAAAACUAAAUUCUAUUUCUAAAUUUUAAUUAUCCAAAAUUAAUUUAAAAACUUAAAUUUAAAAAUACAUUAAGAGACUUCAAAUUCCGUUUUAUUUUAAAUGAAAUCGGUUUAGUAAAGAGGUGACUAUGGAUCAAGUCAAGCCGAAUCGAAGUUCAGUUUCAAAAAAUUCCAAGUCCUAGAGCCUAUUUUUGAUCCAACUCACCCAAAAGCUCGUUUUCUAUUUGAAAAUAUUAAAAAUAUUUUUAAUUGAUAUUUUACAUAUUUUUAUAAUUAAAUUUAAAUUUUAAUAAAAAUUAUUAUUUAAAUUAAACUAUAAAAAUAUUUAUCCAAAUCUGACCCAAAUCGAAUUAGGCCGGGUGGGCGAUCCGAUCAUGACAGGAAAGGAGAAACAAGAAAGACGAAGCCUAAACAGGCAGUAAAUUCAUUUUAAUUCUACAUACAUUCCAUAUUAUUAUUUAGGGAUAAUAUAGUUUUUGACCCUAAUCUUGAUAGUUAAGUGGACUUUAGUACAUAUAUCUUUUUUGUUCUACUUUGACACUCGAACUUCAAAUAUUUUGGUUCCUAAACUUGAAAAAUAUAAAAGUUUUAUGAUGCAACUCUGUAAGAUUGUGUUACAUCAUCACUUAAAAAUUAAAAAAAUAUAUAAAUAUUUUUAAUUAAUAUUUUAUAUAUCUCUAUAAUUAAAUUUAAAUUUAAAAAAUAUUUUUUAUUAUUUAAAUUCAACUCAGAUUAAAUCAAAAUAAAAUGUAAAAAUACUUAUUCAAAUCUGACCCAAAUUGAGUUGGGCCGGGCAGGCUACCCAGUCAUCUCAAGUCUACUUUAGCACAGGUAAGUAAAGUUGAAUCAUUAGAUUGGGAUAUAUGUGUGCUUCGGGUAAAUACUUAUUUGGGCUGAAUUAUUUGGACUUCAAUUAUGAAUUUAAUUUUUUACUAAUAUGUGUGAGAAGCCCAUUCUUUUAUGAAUUUUGGGCCACUUCGGUUUCGUCUUCAGGAAUUAAACAUUCAUAAAAAUCUAAAAAAAUUUAUUAAAUUAUUAUUUAUUAAUUAAACCAGUUGAUUAUUCAAUCGGUUUGACCACUAGUUCUUGAUUCAACUCAUUUGAUCGGUUCAACUACCCAACUAACAAUAAUUAAAUGAAUGAUUCAACAUCCAUAAAAAUCUAAAAAAGAAUAUUAAAUCGAUUACAUAUGUUCAAUAGCCAAGUUUUUUUUUUACUAAUUUCAAACAAUUUUUUUAAUUUAAUUGAUUCAACCAUUUUGUUCAAACUAGGGUGUUCGCAAAAGUCUCGACUCUCCUAAAAUGGAAAAGUUUUUAUUUAAGUCAUUUAAAAUUUUUAAAAUUUUAAAUUAAUAAAGGUAAAUUACACUUUGGCCCCAUAAAAAUAUAAAAAUUUGAUUUAAUCCUUUAAAAAUUAUAAAGAUAUAGGCUAUUAAAAUGGUGAAAUUAUAUUUUUACUUCGUAAAAAUUACAAUUUAAUUUCGACUCCCUUUUUUUUUUUUGAUUUCGCCCCUAAUUCAAACCAUUAUACCGGUUGGUUCUUAGUCCAAUCAAUCCAACCAACCAAUCCACUACUAUUUCAGUAAAAUUGGUCAUAUCAUCAAAUCUUGAUAGAAUCCAAAUUUAAAGGACCAAAAUAGAUCUAAUUGUCAAACUCAAAUACCAAAAUGGAUCUAACUUAAAAGCAAUAUUGAAACAUGUCUUUCUUGUUUUCUCCGUCUCUUAAAACCCCCUGACCUUUGUUUUUUUUUUUUUUUAGUCUUUGAGUUCCUUAGAGAGUUGGUUCAUAUUUUAGGAUAUUGUUUCAUGCUUUUGGCUUGCGAGUUCUUUGUAUUGUAAUGGUAUUUUUUGUAUUAGUGUGAGGAGUAUUGUGGUGUUAUUUUGCUAUCCAUUGAUUCGUUUUGGGUGAAGGUUUUAUUUUGAGCCUUUGUGUUUGUAUGGGAUACCUUAUCUUCGAGUUCUGGGUUUUUCUUUAAUAUAUUUCUAUCGGUUCGAAAAAGAUGGAAGUCUAGAUUUGAUUUGGAGAUAAAAUUGUGUUUUAAUUUUUGUGUACUUUCCUGAUUUUUCUAAAUAAUAUUUUUUUCUGCUUCAAUCCAACUACAAUACUUGCAUUAUAAACAACUAUUUCAUUGAAUUUCUUUUUUAUUUUAAAAAUACUUUUUAAACUGUUUUUUUUCUAGAGAUUCUCUAAAAUUUUCUAUUAAAAACUUUAUAUAUUUGGUAAAAGGAUUAAAGAAGUUCCUGUACUUAGUGAUGGAUUGCAUUUCAACCCUUUUAUCGAAAAAAAUUGACAAAUUAAUUUUUAUACAUUUCAAAACAUACAAAUUUGUCGCUUCGUUAAAAUUUUUCUACAUUUUAACCUAUUCAUCAUUUCCUUUGCAGAAAAAUAGUUGAUAUACCAUUAGAACAUGAGCCUCAAACAUUAUAAAUGAAUAAUAAUACCUCGGUCUAUGAAGAAGUUAUGUUACAUUUGAUGGAAUAUCAAAGGAAAAUUUUUCGUUUAUUUUAAAAAGAUUUUAUUCAAUUUUCUAAUUGUAUAUAUAAUUGAUAUUAAUUAUUUUUUAUUUUAAGUUUAAUUAUUUUAAAACAUAUUUAUUAAAUAACUUUUUUUGGUGUUAUUAAUUAAACAUCAAAUGCAGCAUUAAUAUUGUAAGUCUUCCGUUAUUUAAUAUUUAAAUAAUAUGAAAUUGAACAUUUAAACGUAAAAUAUAAAAUUAUUCUUAAUAAUUUAUAAUAAAGGGAAUAAUAAAACAGAUGAUUAGAUGAAAUCAAGAAUCAGGUUAAAUUCACACCUGACCAUGGAAAUAUUUGUGUCGAUAUGAUUUAUAAACAGGGUUUAGCCAUGAUACUUUUCUGUGAGAGGCAAAAUCAAAAUUUUUCUUUUCACUUAAAAACUUAAUAUUUUAAUUUUUCCUCAAUUUUGUCCAUUCAAACAUGUUAAGACUGUAUGGUUUGAUUUACCUGUUGGUACGUAAGCUUAUUCAUGCAAAAGUGUCCUUUUAUCAAUUAAAAAGAACAGCAAUAAGGUAAAACGUCAGUUUUUAAUAGAGUCUGACUGCGUCGUCGGCAAAUGAGUGUAGAAUCUUUUACGGUAAGCAAAAGCAUGCUAUCCUAUUUUCCUCCAAUAGCAUAUUUAUUUAUCAUUAAUAAUUACUUUCAUUUUAAUUGUAAUAAAAAUUUAUGACAUAAUUCAUCGUUUACAAACACCAUCUUCAUAUAAUAUUUAAAUUUUCUUUUAGAUAAUUUAUGAUUAUAAUUCUUGAACACAUAUGACAUAAUGGAUGAUUAUUUGGUAUAGCUGAUAGUAAAUUUUUAAUUUCAUAAAUAGAUUUGAAAGUUUGAUAUAUAUUUUAAGUUGUAUUUAAAAAAAAUAGGAUAUAUGAAAAUUUUUCAAUCUCGCUUAUUGAGUUAAUUAAUAAUCCAUAAAAAAAUAUUACUUUGUAUGUUUUAAUUCUUAAUUAAUUUUAGAUAUUUGACUUCUAUUAAUUUAAAUGUUUUAAUGUUUUUUUUGAAUUAAAAAAAGUGUGUAUUUAAUUCUUCAUAAAACAAAUUAUUUGUAAAUAAUCAUAAAUCGGUAUAAGAAGAUCAAACCUAAUAUAUCAAAGCAACUAAUAGCGGAUUGAUUGUUUGAUUUCAAAUGUUUAAAUUUGAUAAUCAAUCAAUUUAAAGAUACAAUGAGAUGUAAUUUUGUAAAUUAGAUAUCUCAAUCUUAGUAUUAAAUGAUUGAUGACUCUAAGCUACUUAAAAACAAGAAGACAAUCAAUCUUCACUUUAAUUUAUAUGAUCCAAAGUUCUUAACACCAUUUCAAAGAACCGUUCAGAAAUUAUAGAUACAAGAUCUAAUCAAAACAUCAAGUAACGGCCAAAUCAAAACCCACCAAAGAGAUAUCCAAAGUCUCAAAUCUGGAAUUAAAGGUCAACGUAACCACAUCAUACAAAGAAAUGCUCCCACCACUCCACUUCGGGACAUGUACAAAAUCUGAUUUCUUCGAUCACUACUUGAAAGAGUUGAUAAUUCUCAUAUUUAGAAUUAUUUUAAUUUAGUUUUUAUAGUAUUUUAGGAGUAAAAUCUUUUUUAUUAUAGUUUAUAGUUUUUGAAAUUAAUUAGAUUUUAUUUAAUUUUCCGGAUUUAUUAGCUAUAUUUUUCUCCAUUGUAAAUUUGAGAUAAAAAAAAUGAAAGAGUUGAAAUAUAAAGUAAGAAAGGAUGAAAUCUUCUACUCCACUUGAUCAACUUUACAGUGAACAUAUUUUUAAAUUCAGAAAUUUUGAUAGCAAUUAUUCCUUCUACCAUAAUUUUUUAUUUGGUGGAGCUCCUAAUAAAAGUCAAAAAGAAAAAAAAAGUAUGGGUUUGACCAAUAUUUUAUGGUUCAUUUUUUAUAUAUUUACUCUAAUCUCUGUUUCUAAAAAAUAUCUUAAAACAUUGAAAAAAUAUAUAGUUUAAUUAGCAACAAAUACGCGUUUUUUAUUCUCAAAUUAUUGGUCCAAUCGGUUGAUUUAGUUAGAGAUUCAAAUAUUAUUUAUGAUUUUAAUAUAAAAUAUGAGAAAUGAUGUUCACAUUUCAAAUGAUGUUCAAAUUGAUGGAAACAGUCAAAAAAGAAAAAAUCCUGAGAUGUCAAGUUUACAUUUUAAAACUGGAAGAAAGAAAUCCUCAAAGCAAAUUGGAGGGGCUGCAAGAUUGUCCAGUCAAAUAGAAAAACUAUGCAAUGCAGCUGACAAUAUGAGUCAAGCCACAUCUAGUUUGACUCCUGUUAUGGAUCCAUAUGGUAUUCCACAAGCAGUCAAAAUGCUUGACAGCAUGUCGGAAGAAGUUCCAGAAGCUAGUCCGCUAUACUUUUUCGCACUUAGAUUAUUGCUCAAUAAGGACAAGCGAAUUAUGUUUUUAUCAAUUAAUCCUAAUAUUAGAGCUUUGUGGCUUAAGACGGAAAUGGAGGAUAGUUGAAAAUUUUUUGAUCUUCUAGGGUUUAAAGAUAUCUAUUUAUGUGUAAUCUUCUAGUUAUAAUGGCUUAAGCGAAUUAUGUUUUUAUCAAUAGUUAUUUAUGUUUAGUUUUUGGAUAUUGAAUUUAUGUGCGAAUUAUGCUUUUGGAUAUUGAAUUUAUGUGUAAUCAAUUAUGUUUUAUUAAUAGUUGUUUAUGUUUGGUCUUUAGAUAUUGAAUUUAUGUUCCACUUAUUUUUUAUUAAAUUAAUUUUAUUAAUGGUUGUUUAUAUGUGAUUUUGGAUAUAAAAUUUAUUCACAGGUGAUGAGUAUAGUUGAGGAUUAUAGCAGUGAUGAAAGUGAUGAUCAAAGGGAAAAGAAAGAGAUGUUACAACGCAUGGAAUGUUUUAACCGAAUAUUUGUUGUUGCAUCUUCUUCCAUGCAAUUAUAUUACGAGAAGUAUAUAUUGAGGCAACCAUGCAUGGAUUCAAAACAGUCAGGUGAGACAUGGAUCCGAGAGAUCCUUGACGGUCACGAAUCACGUUGUAUGAUUAAUUUUAAGAUGUCUAAAAUGGUAUUCACAAGUUUGUUGAGAGUUUUGGAGACAAGAUACAACUUGCAAACUUCAAGAAACAUAUCUUCUACUGAAAUGUUGGGAAUUUUUUUAUACAUCUUGGGCACCGGUGCAAAAGUUUCCCAAUGUCGAGAAAGAUUUCAAAGGUCUGGAUCAACAAUAAGUCGAUACUUUGCAGUUGUGCUUGAGAAAGUUUCAAGGAUGGCCAUUGAUCUAAUUGCACCUGAAGAUCCUUUUUUUAGCUCAAUACCCGAACAAAUACAUAAUGAUUCUAGAUAUAUGCCGCAUUUUAAGGUUAAAAUUUAAUUUCAUAUUAUUAUAUUUUAAUAUAUUUGGUCGACUAAAAAUAUGCACGAGAGUAAUAUGAUUAUUUGUUCAGGAUUGUAUAGGUGCAAUUGAUGGUACUCACAUUGCGGCUAUUCUUCCACCAAAUGAACAAAUUCCCUAUAUUGGAAGAAAAGGUAUCCCGACUCAAAAUGUUAUGGCAGUAUGUGAUUUUAAUAUGUGUUUCACAUUUGUCAUGGCUGGAUGGGAAGGAUCGACACAUGACACUAGAAUAUUUCUUGAUGCAAUUCGAGAUCUAAAAUACAAAUUUCCGCACCCUCCAAAUGGUUAGAUAUUUUAUUUAUAUGUGAUUUUUUAAAUAAUAAAGUAAGUUCUUUAAUUGAUUUUUUAUUAAAAAAAUUCUUGAAUUAAUUGUUUGUUAUAUUAUGACUUGUAGAAAAAUAUUAUCUUGUUGAUUCUGGAUAUCCUCAAAUGAAAGGUUAUCUUGGACCAUAUAGAGGUCAACGAUAUCAUUUACCUGACUUCCGAAGAGGUAGACCGAUUUCUGGUAAAGAAGAGAUAUUCAAUCAUUCACAUUCAUCAUUACGUAGUGUGAUUUAACAAACUUUUGGUGUUUUAAAAAAAAUGGGCCAUUUUAAGGGAUAUGCCAAGUUAUAGUUUUGAAAAGCAAACGGUGAUCGUUGUUGCUAUAAUGACGAUACACAAUUUUAUCCGAAAACAUGUUGGUCAAAAUGAUGUAGAUUUUAUGGAAUACGAAGAUAUUAACUCGGCAUAUGAGAAUAGUAUUGAUUCAGAAAAUGCGCAUGGGCCACAAAGUGAUGAUGAUGACGACGACGACGACGAUGAUAGUAAUGAUGAUGGUGAAUCAAACAUUUUUAGUGGUUUUGAAAUGGAAUUAACAAGAGAUGCUAUAGUUUCUAGUUUAAUGAAUUCAAUUUAAAUUGUAAAUGCUAUUGUAAAAUUUUUAGUAUUUAUAUCUGAUAUAUAAAUAUUAUCCCCUUUUUAAAACUUCAAUCCAAAUAUAUCUAAUAUUUUAAUUUGUUAAGUUUAUGUUUUCUAUGUUAUAUUAAUAUCUAAUAUGAGUUAUAUAUUCAAAUAUAUUUUAAAAUAAAAUAAUACAAGCGUGUUAAAAGUAUUAAUUAAAAAUAAAAAAUAAUUUUUAUAAUAAUACAAUCGUGUCAAUAUCUAAUUACAAAUAUUUAAAUAUUUAAAUAUAGUUUAUAUAUUCUAAUUAAAUUUUAUAAAUAAUUAAUAUUAAUUACUUAGAAAUAUUUAAAAUUAAUAUUAUAUAUUAAAAUAUUAACAAUAAGUUAUAAUAAAUUAUUUUUUUAUAUUUUUGCUAAAAUAUCAUAAUAUUAACUAAUUUGAACAUUAUUUAAAAACAUAUUUGUUACUUUAUAAUCUCAUGUCUAAAAUGGACAUUUUAUUCUUCAAAAAUACUUUUUAACACUAAUAGCAAACACUCAAAUUUUUCAAAAGCACUUCUUAAAAAUAAUUCUCAAAAGCAUUUCUCAAAAGUAACGAAAAACUAGCCCUUAACGCCCCGUUCUUCUGCACGUUUUAGAAGUGCUUUUGGCUGAAAAAUCCUUUUCCUUUAAAAGGAAUGAAGAACAGCCUCCUUUUCUUCUGAAAAUUUCACCAUCAGAAAAGGACUUCUCUCCAGAUGAAAAGUUAAAAUUUCUCUUUUUUUUCAGCUUAAAGUGCUUUUGGCUGAAAAUUGACCAAAUUAACCUAUCGUCUUCUCCCACAAACUUUCUUUCCCCUCCUCUGCUGGUUCUUUGGAACUGUCUUCUCCCACAAACGUGCUUUUGGCUGAAAAGAACAGAAAUUUGAUUUCUCAAAUUUUUCCACAAACGUGCUUUGGAACUGUCUUCUCCCACAAACGCUCUCCCACUCCCGCGACGGGGCGCUGUCAAUCGGCUGUGCUUCAGGGUCGAAGGAAGCAUAUGGAAGGUCUCACUGUCUGCAUGCUCGAUCUCCACAUUCCCUUCCCGAGUAUCUCUCUUUCUUCAUAUCUUUUUUUUUGUGCGGCUUCGUGGUUUUAUUAGAAUGCGUUCAUAGGGGAAUUAGUCUUACGAUUAAUAUUUUCUCUUGUAAAAAGGAUAAAUUGAUGUUGCAAUUUAAUGACAGUUUUUAUGCUAUGGAUUGAGAAUGAGAUUCUAGGGUUUUUCAUUGAAUGAAUUUGCUUUUGGUUGUUUUAUUAACAAACUUCAUCGCUUCGCUUAAGAAAAAAAAAAUCCUUCUUUUAAGAUUGAAUUUAUGAAGUUUUAUCGGUUAAUUAAAUGCUUAGCUCUUUUCUAAUGACUGUAACCAAUGUAGCAAUGAUAUUAAAGAAGGUUUAGUUAUAAAAGUGGAGAGAUAUUAUGCUAAACCGAACUACUAACUUCAAUAGUUUACUUCUUAGUGUUCUUAUAGAGGCAAUUUUGUUUGAAAAGGAUCUUUCUAAACAAUGUAAGAUUUGGUAUUUUUGCUUAUUUUGUGAUGGUUGAAGAAGUUUGUGCGUAUCACUGAUUUAAUAACUUUGUCUAACGUCUCAUCCUAUGUUUUAUUUUUAAUACAUAAAUUUUUGAUACAUUGGAGCAGGCAAAAUUGGGGUUAAGGAAGUUUCAGUCGGAGUUGUUGCAGUUUUUGAUGGUCAUAAUGGUGCUGAAGCUAGUGAGAUGGCUUCAAAACUUUUACUGGAGUAUUUUGCUCUAUAUACAUAUUUCCUUUUGGAUGCAACUUUUUCCUUUGUAUUGAAGAAGCAGUCAAGUAGGUUGCCAAAUGUAGGAGAAGGGGAUAUUGUUUUCUGUUGCGGAAAGGAUCGAUUCGAGAACUCCGAUAUGACUACAAGUAAAUUGACCGAAACGAAAAAUAAAGUGAACACAAGGAUUUACGUGGUUCGGCUUUAAUGCCUACGUCCACGGGCAGAGGCGAAAAGAAAUUUCACUAUAACAAGAUGAAGAUUACAAGUGUUUUACACUCAAGACACAACCCGAGAACCUCACAACUCUCAACCCCUAUAGAAAACCCGAAAGCUAAAAUCCUAGCUUUCAAAGAACAAGCUUUGCUCUCUCUUGGUUUGGGAUGAUCAAUAUGGCUAAUGAACCUCUCUAUUUAUAAGAGAGUUCAAGGACAUAAUUGUCCAAAACUUUGGCAAAGAUUUGUGGUUGAAAAUGGACACCAACAACCAUCCACUAAUCCACUACCACCAACAACCCACUACCAACAACAACAAUCCACUACCAAUUUUAAGCCAUUUCUUAACAAAUCUCCACCUUGGCUUGAAAUUUACCAAGCUGAACAUCAUAGAAACUCCAAGCCAUUAUCCGUCCGGAAUCGCUUGAUCUUCUUUCCUGUUUGAUUUUCGAUCAAAGCUUUAAAUUGCUUGAAGUUGAUGAGAACCUCAUACUUGCUCUUCAGAAAAUACACCCAAACCUUUCUCGAGUAAUCAUCGAUAAAGGUAAGCAGAUAUCUGUAACCACCUUUAGAAAUUGUCGGAGAAGGCCCCCAAAGGUCAGAAUGGAAGUAAUCCACUGUGCCUUUUGUCUUGUGAAUCCCAGUGCUGAACUUUACCCGAGUCUGCUUACCGAAGACGCAGUGCUCACAGAAAUUCAACUUUCCUGUACACUGCCCAGACAAUAAUCCUCGUUUGCUUAGCACCGAUAAGCCUCUCUCGCUCAUAUGCCCGAGCCGCAUAUGCCAUAACUUCGUGGUGUCAGAAUCUAGAUCAUCUGAUGAUGACACUCCCGCAACACCUGUAACCGAGGAACCAUCGAGGAAGUAAAGGCCCCGCUCCAAAUUACCACGUAUCACAGUCAAAGCACCCGAGAAUACCUUGAGAACUCCACCUUCAGCAGAGUACCGAAAGCCUUUCUUGUCCAACGUACUCAAAGAGAUCAAAUUUUUCUUCAUUUCUGGAAUGUGCCGAACAUCAGUUAGAGUUCUAACAAUACCGUCAAACAUCUUUAUACGAACUGUGCCAAUCCCCAUGACUUGACAUGCGUGGUCAUUUCCCAUUAGUACUGAACCAGAAUGCUUCUCGUAUGUUGAGAAUGCAUCUUUCGAAGUACUUAUAUGAAAUGUAGCUCCCGUAUCAAGAAUCCAUCUCCCACCAGCGUAAGAGUCGGAUACUGCAAGAACGAUCUCGGCAUCACUUGAAGAAUCUGCAUCAGCUACAUUCGCACGAUCAUUUUGUUGCUCCUGUGAUUCUGAUUUCUCCUUCCUUUUCGGACAAUCUACCUUCAUGUGCCCGUACUUCUUACAGUAGUAGCACUGUAUUCUCUUCUUGGACUGCGAUCUAGGAUGGCUUUUACUUGAACUUCCACCCUUUGCCUUGGAUCUUCCUCGAGCAACCAAGCCUUCGCCUUCAUUGUUUUCGACCACCUUACCAGUGAUUUUCUUCCUCAACUCACUGGAACUUAAGGCAUUUUUCACCUCCUCUAGAGUCAGGUCAUCACGACCGUACAUCAUUGUAUCAACAAAAUUCUCAUACGAGGGAGGCAAAGAACACAAAACAAUUAUUGCUUGGUCCUCAUCAUCGAUUUUGUUAUCGAUAUUAUUCAAAUCCAUGAUAAUGGAAUUGAAUUUAUCCAGGUGCUGGGAAACAGGUGUACCUUCCUCCAUCUUCAGGGCAUAGAGUCUUUGCUUGAGGUAGAGCCGGUUCGUCAAUGACUUCGUCAUGUACUUGCUCUCUAACCGGAGCCACAAACCGGACGCGGUUUUCUCAUCCGCUACUUCUCGUAGCACUUCAUCUCCUAGACAUAGCAGAAUAGCACUAUGUGCUCUUUCUAGCAUGUCAUCCUUUUGCUCUUCCGAAAGCGUGCUUGGUAAUUUAUCUUUACCAGACAAUGCUUUUAGCAAUCCUUGUUGAACCAGCACUGCCCGCAUCUUGAUGCGCCAUAAACUGAAACUAUUUUUCCCGGUAAAUUUCUCGACAUCAUACUUAGUCGAUGAAACACUUGUAGCCAUAAUUUGGAACCUUUGAAUGAAUGAUAAUAUUUUCUUCCUGAUGUGAAAGAUCAGACAAAGCUGCAGUCACAGGGCAAUUCAGAAAAUAUUAUCACUCCUUCAACUACGCUCUGAUACCAAUUUGUUGCGGAAAGGAUCGAUUCGAGAACUCCGAUAUGACUACAAGUAAAUUGACCGAAACGAAAAAUAAAGUGAACACAAGGAUUUACGUGGUUCGGCUUUAAUGCCUACGUCCACGGGCAGAGGCGAAAAGAAAUUUCACUAUAACAAGAUGAAGAUUACAAGUGUUUUACACUCAAGACACAACCCGAGAACCUCACAACUCUCAACCCCUAUAGAAAACCCGAAAGCUAAAAUCCUAGCUUUCAAAGAACAAGCUUUGCUCUCUCUUGGUUUGGGAUGAUCAAUAUGGCUAAUGAACCUCUCUAUUUAUAAGAGAGUUCAAGGACAUAAUUGUCCAAAACUUUGGCAAAGAUUUGUGGUUGAAAAUGGACACCAACAACCAUCCACUAAUCCACUACCACCAACAACCCACUACCAACAACAACAAUCCACUACCAAUUUUAAGCCAUUUCUUAACAUUUUCCAAGUGCUUAAUUGGGACAAAGAGAUUGGAAAGCAUGGCUUGAACCUUGAAAGGUGAUAUCAUGUGUAACUCAGACCAUAUUUAUGUUUGAGUUCCUUGUUUUAGAAAAUGGAUAUAGCUGUUGCUUGCUGUUGACGAUUCUUAACCCAAAGUAUUAAUGCUUGCUCAGAUUAUUAACCCAAUGUUUAUUUCAUCAUCUUAAAGUUGCUUCCUGUUUGCUUCUACCUGCUAUUCAGCUGGUUGUGGGAAUUAGCCAUCCCUGGUGGAUUUCUCUGACAUUUUUCAUUGGAAGCUGUAUUAGGCUAGUGGAUUGGUCUUUGACUAGCAAUUUUCUAGGACUAUUCAGGUGAUUGCUUCUUGACUCUUUGUACAUUGUUCUAUUUCAUUUUCUUUGUCAAUGAAUUUGGUUUUAUCAUUGGUUAAUGUUUUUAGUAGCUUAUGUUCUGUUUCUUUUUUGUCAAGGUUGUGGAAGGCUCUCCAGUUUUAUGCAGGCUUCAGCAUUUUCAUGCUUUAUGUGUAUCAACUCCUUAUAGAGUUCUCAAGUAUGUUACAGUGGAUAGCUGAUUUUGUUGGUCUAUUCAAAAUAUGUUCAACAUCUGAGUGGACUGAAAUUUGCUCUUCUGUUUCUCUUGUACUUUAUUACAUCAUGGUAUGUACUAGUUUUAUUACUAUAGGUCUGAUUCUGUUUAAAGAUUUUAGCUGAACCUUUUAAUGAAAUGCAAUUCACUCUUCCCUCUUCCUAGAAUCUUAUAUUAUGAAAUUGACUUCAUUUGAGUCUUUCCUGUGUCUGACAUUUGUCUAUCUAAUAGUCUUUUCCCCAUAUUACUAAUUUAAGAUGGUUUGAAGUGUUUUCUUUCUAUAAGAAAAAUUUCCCGAACAGAUAUGAAGUAAUUAGUUGCAAACUAGACUUUGGAGAUUGAUGACAUUUUUGCCAUUCUGGAUGCAAUUUUUAUUCAAUUUGCUCAAUGAAAUUGCAAUUGAAAAUUUGAGAGCUUCCUAGUUAGAAACCACAUAUUUAUAUAAUAUAUGUUUUUAAUAGUUUUGAACAAGUUAAAUUAAUUAUAAAGAAAUAAUAUAAUUGAGAACAAGAUUAGAGCAGCUCGUUUGUACAUCUCAAUCUUAAUAUUAAGUGAUUGAUGACUCUAAGCUACUUAAAAACAAGAAGACAAUCAAUCUUCACUUUAAUUUGUAUGACGCAAAGUUUUUAAAACCAUUUCUAAGAACCGUUAAGAAAUAAUAGAUACAAGAUCUAAUCAAAACAUCAUGUAACGACCCAACCAAAACCCACCAAAGAGAUAUCCAAAAUCUCAAAUUUGGAAUUAAAGGUCAACGUAAACACAAAAUUCUCCAAAAGUAUUAUGAGUUCUAACCUUUUAAUGGGUAUAAUUUUUAAGGUUUUACAAUAGCCUAUUUACAUGCAAAAUUUGUAGCCCAAAUAAUAAUAAAAUAAUAUAAACUAAUCAAUGUUUAACUAAAAUAAAUAAAUAGAGUUUAGCUGAAAGAUUACCUCUCAAAUUUAAUCGAAAUAUGAGGCAAGGUAUCACUUCAAUGGUAUAAAGCUACAUAAAAUCUUAGUUAUGUCUUUGAAAUAUUUUCAUAAAGGCAUGUGCAAAAACUUUUUCAUUCUUAACAAAUUCAUUCCACUCAAUAUUAUUUAUUUAAAAUCAAAACCACAUUUAUUUUUAAACAACAUCUAAUAAUGUAUUUGGCUCAUCCAACAAUUUAUUUUUAAACGACAUUUAUUUAAAAAGAACCAAAUGAGAAUCAUUAUACAACUUCAUAAAGUCGAUGACACAUCCAACAUUUAAAGCACAAAGAAACUAGAUAGGCCAACAACAAAACAAUAAUGCCAACAUUCUCAAAUACGGCAACAAAUUUGUUCUAAAAACAAAAGUAAGCGCAUCGCACCUAGAGCGUAGAAAUACUUGAAUUCAAUCAUUGUAACAACGAAAAAGGAAACAAGACAUCCAACAUCCUCAUCACAAUAGAUUCUCCUUUGACCCGCCAACAGCGUUUGCAAUGCAAUAAAACAAAAAGAGGUUAUUGUGAUAGCAACUCUUAUAAAUAUUCCAAAAUUAACUUUUAGAUGCAUCAAGUCUUAAUCUAAGGGAAAGGGUUUAUCCAAACAUGAAAAAUCUAACCAACUCAAUUCAAUUCAACCCAACCUCAACCUAUCUAUAUAGUUUACUUUUAAUUUAUAUCUAAUUUCAAUUAUGGUUUAAAUUUAAAUAUUUUUUAACAAAAAUUUUAAAUACUUAAUAUUGAACAAAUAGCCAUAUUUAUGAAAAAAUUUGUAAUUAUGAACAUAACUUAACACAUAGGUAAAAGUAUUUUUUUUACUUAAUAAUAUUAUUAGCAAUAGUACGUUAUUAAUUGUAUAUGAAAAUAAUGAAGCUUAAAAAUUAAAAUUUAAAGACAAUGUCAUUGUCAAAUUUACUCAAUUUAUUUUUAACCAUAGUUACCUAUGUACAUAUGUGACACACAUAAUAAGAUGCUAAUAUAUAUAAGGCAAAAUAUUAUAAAGUUAAACGGUUAGAUAAUGAAGUGAAAUGUUUCUAACCUUAUGCAAUAUUUGAACUUGUUAUAGUAACAGUAUCCAAUGAUGUACUUGGCUCAUCAUUAGAGUUCUCACACCUAUGAACCUCCAUUGAUGUUUCAAGCGGCAGUUGAUGGAAUGGCUUAGGAGCCAUUUCAAGGAGUUCAACAUCAGAUUCAAGCAUCUUCAAAACUUUACUCAUUGAAGGACGAUCAGAAGGCAGUAAUUGUAUACACCAAAAGGCUGUUAUUACCAUUUUCUUUACCAUUGCUUUUUCAUCGUCAGAAACAUCUCCCAACUCCAAGUCAUCUCCUUGAUCUAAUCGGUCAUAAAUCCAAGAUGGAAAAUAUAUUUGACUAGUGUGGUCAGCAAAUGCAUUCACAUUCUUUCUCCUUCCAACUAUUUCCAUCAGUAACAUUCCAAAACUAUAAACAUCGGCUUUGUAUGAGAUGCCUCCAAGAUUUUUGUAAACCAAUUCAGGAGCAAUAUAUCCUAUCGUUCCUCGUGCCGCAGUGAGAGAGACAAUGCUAUUAUCUACUGAAUACAAUUUAGCAAGACCAAAAUCCGAAACUUUUGGAUUAAAAUUCUCAUCAAGAAGAAUAUUGUGUGGCUUGAUAUCAAAAUGUAGAAUUUGCAUGUCACAUCCUUGAUGUAAGUAGUGAAUUCCUUGAGCCACCCCAAGUACAAUAUCAAACAUUUUUUUCCAGCCCAAAGUGUUCUUAUUUUCUUCUGUAAAUAUGAUUUUAUCUAAAGAUCCAUUAGACAUGAAGUCAUAUACUAGAGCUUGCUUUGAUCCCUCCACACAAAAUCCGAUAAGUUUUGCCACAUUAGCAUGAUGAAUUGUCCCAAUGGAAGCAACUUCGUUUAUGAAAUCUUGGCCAUUACCUUUUGAUUUGCCCAACAAUUUUAUUGCCACAUGAUGGCCGCUACGAAGCUUUCCUUUAAACACUGAGCCAUAACCCCCUUCACCUAAUUUAUCUUUAAAAUUGUUAGUCAUUUUUUUAAUUUCUUUAAAAGAAUACCUUAAUGGCACUAGAUUAUUUUGGCUUUUAAGGAACUCUUCGAUCAUAUCAUCCAUGGAUAAAUGUCUUCUUCUCCAUUUGUACGUGACAAAAGCAAGCAAACAAAUGAUCCCAGGAAAUGACCUCAAGAUAACUCCACCUUUAAAGAAAUACAAUGUAACAUGUUGAAAUUAAUCACAUAAUAUAUAACUUACAUUCUCAGAAAAAAGGAUAUAGUGUGAUAGUUUUAUGUUAACUAGUAUUUGAGAGAGUGGCAUAUUUCACUAGUCUAUGGACUUAACCGAGAGUAGUCUGAAUUAUAUGCAUUGUUUUUGUCAUUAGCAGGUAUAUCUCAACAAAUUAAAAUUCAGAAUUUCAAACACAAAAGGAGUAAAUCGUGCAAAGUGGAUACCAAUUAUUCUAACCUCAAACAUUCCAAUAGAUUUGACAGGGUCAUGACAUUCAGCCAAAUUAACACAUUCGUAACCCCAUCCAAUUAGCAAAUUCUAAAGAAAGAACAUGAUUCUUAACCAUGAAGGAUACUCAACUGUUGUUUCUAUUCAUGCCAAAUAAACUUGAAGAAGGACAAAUUAAAAAUAUAAUAACCUUCAAAUUUCAUAAAUGAAACAAAAUCUAACCACCAAAAGAUGCAAGAGAACCCCCCAAAAAACAGAUUUGAUAAAUUCAAGAGCUAACUUUGUUGAAUGUUUUAGCAAAAUGAAUAUCCACCAAACUUAUAACCUGUGAAAGUUCUAAACAAUACCAUUAUGGAAACAAGCUUAACUAAAACUCUAACAUCUUUCUUAACUUGACAAAAAAUUUCUUUCAUAUAGAAGAAGAUUGUAUUCUGCAUUCAAACUCCGUAAAGAGUGUCAUAGCUUUCUUAGUUUUGUAGUGAAAUUAAAUAUAAACUUGUAUAAUAUGAUAGGCUCCUUAUUCUUUUUUUCCCCCAGAAUAUAGCUAAUAUUUGUUCUCAACUAGUGAAAAUGCAAAUCUGCAAAUCUAAAAUUAAAUAUACCUGUUAUUAGCAAACAGAGACGACAAGCUCCGAGCAAUCUGGAUUAUAUAUUCAACAAAUCAAAGUAAAAUUAAUAAAGGGGUGUAAAGGAAAAUUCCAAAUUUGUGUAAAAAAAUCAAUGGAAGGUAAUUUAAAACAUUAUAUUAUGUUUUGUGGUAUAUACUCAAAAAAAAAAUACAACAAUUCUUUACAUAUGUUUGCUUGUAAAAAGUAUGCAACAUGUAUUACAGUAUAAGAGUUUUUAGGUAACUAAAAUGAUUUAAUAUAAUCAAAGGUGAGACAAAUUUUAUUCAAAUUAAUUAAUCCAAAAAGUAUAUAUUAUUGCAUUAAAAAGAGUUUUUGCGAAAAAAAUAAACUCAUCCACAAUGGUGGAAUAUUUACGUACUACCAACUAAAUUGAAUAGACAUCAAAAAUAAAAAGAAAAUAAAAAGAUAGACAUAAUCAAAUAUAAUUGUCCAAAAAGAAGACAAAACAGCAGAGAAAGCAGAGGCAGAUACUAAAUUAGAAAUGCUUUUAGUUCAUUUGAUUGUUAGAUGUUGAUCAAUUUUAGAUGCAAAAUCAUCAUACUUAUUUACCAUCAUAAAAUUUAAUUGCCAAAAAAGUAACAUAAAAUAAAACAAAACAUAAAGUAGAUGUUGUAACUAAAAAUUCCAGUAUGAUGCACACUCAAAAUGCAAACUUUAAUUAUUAAAGAAACUUACAUUUCUUUCAACGAAACUUUGUUUUGGUAAUCGCAUCUUUUCCAUUCGACCCAAAAACCCUCUAAUAGUUUUUUGUAGAUAUCCAGCGUAGACAUGCCUAUUAUAUUAUCAACCAUAAUUGGAACCGCCGCUUCGAUAGUGCAAGCUUGAUUGAUAUAAGAUAGCUGGGUGUUUCCAUUUAAAAAAUAGAAAUGGGAAGUUGGCAGGGAAGAGGAGGUAUUGGAUUUGAUGGUACAACGAGAAGCCUCAAUAUAAAGUGACGAUUUUAUAGGUUUCGUGCAAUUCAUAACAUAAAUAAUGCUAUAAUCUAACCUUUUAUAACCAGAAAGAAAAUAAUUAUUAUUAUAAAAAAAAAAUUAUUAUUAUUUUUAUUAAUACCAUUAUAAGAAAAAUAAUCUACAGAAGUAAGAGGAAGGGAGUUGCAAUCAUCCGUGUCUAAACUCGCAUCGACCAUUCGUAUUGUAGAAUUUUCGUAAAAGAUUUGUUGGACAGAGAAUUUCCCUCCUCUCCCAACCAAAGUGGUGCGAUUAUUGUUCUCACACUCAAGUUCCAUGACAGGAGAACCACAGUGGGGAGGUUGGUUUUUUAAUCGGAAUGGAAAACUGAUAUUCAAAUUCCCACAGAAAGUAUAGCCGCAGUCUUGGUUAAUAAGACUCCUAGCAAAACAAACAGCAGGAAAUAGAACUACAAAUAAAGCAAAAGAGGGCAUUAGGUGACCCAACAAUGGCAGUUUUGCUUUUAAUUUUGGCAUGCUAAAAUUUUGGGUAGGGAAGAAGAACAACAAUGAGGGUUAACGAUUAAGUUUCUAACUAAACCAGGGAAAUAUAUAAGAAAGCUUCAGUGGGAGAACAAGCAUUAAUGGGGACAGAAGACUUUGACUAGUCUUCAGCUUUAUUUGGGAUGACUAUUUUAUUUUCAAUAAAUUGUUUACACCUUUUAUUCUUUUAUCUUUUUUCUGGGAAACACCUCAAUCAAAGCACAUCUAAUUCCAAGAAUAGAGCCAUGGUUAUCACAAGCAAAAAAAGGAAUUUUAAUAUUAUUCAAAAAAUUUUAAAUAAAUUUGGACCAUAUACUUGUAGAUCAACCGUUAUCACCUAAAUAAAUUCCAAUUACAAUGAGGAGGACCAAGACAAUGCAAGUCUUAAGUCUUCUUUGAAACACAAAAACAUCACUGCAAAAUAGACUUUUAGCGGCAUUUUUUAGGCCUAUAGCGGCGCUUUUAGGCGUCGCUGGAAAUAGAGCGUCGCUAAAACUAUUUCCGGCGCUUUCACAAGCACCACAAAAAUGCCGCUAUAAACAUCGCCGCUAAAUUUUGCGGCGUUUAUAUGAAAAAACGCCGCUAUAGAACAUGAUCUUUAACGACGCUUUUAUCACAAACGCCGCUAAAGAACAUGGCCUUUAGCAGCGUUUUUAUCACAAACACCGCUAAAGGUAAUAAUCUUUAGUGGCACUUUUAUCACAAACGCCGCUAAAAUAAUAUGAUCUUUAGCGGCGCUUUACCCACAAACGCCACUAAAGAUCAUUACCUUUAGCGGCGCUUUUAUAAAAAACGCCACUAGCUUUUAAAAAUAUUAAAUAUUAAAAAUCACACAUUAUUAAUAUUACAAAUUAAUUAGUAUUGGAUAUAUACUUCUAGUCAAAAAGAUGGUAUUUAAUCAUAUAAUAAAUUAAUAUUUUUUAGUCAAAAUAUUGAAAAAUCAUGUUAAUAUUUAAAUAGCAAAAUUACAAGUUCAAAUAGUGCAACUAAUUGAUUGGAAAAAAAAUGCACAAGUUCAAAAUGUGCAGUAAUAAACUUAAAAAUUUAUAGGCUAAAAUGGAAAUUACCUUUUGAAAUUAGACUAAAAUAGGUUUACUACAUUCACUAUUUACUACAUGGGUUUAUUGCUUCUAUAAACUCCAAUUAGGCAUUGAAACAGGGGUGUUUAUAUAUUACAAAAAAGCAUGAAAAAAUAGGAGUCCAUCUCCACACCUCAGAAACCAGGGCAAAUGCAUACCCCAACAUUGCCCUCGUAUUCAGCAUCCAUCUCCAGCUGCUUCGACGAAUACGGAACGAGAAUACAUGUUGCAAGUUCCGUAUUCUAAUGCAGUGGGUAGCUUGAUGUAUGCAAUGGUGUGUACAAGACCCGACAUUUCACAGGCAGUUAGUAUAGUGAGCAGGUAUAUGCAUAAUCCUGGAAAAGGACAUUGGCAAGCUGUGAAAUGGAUUCUACGGUAUAUUCAGAAGACCGUGGAUGUUGGAUUACUGUUCAAGCAGGAUAAUACACUUGGUAAAGGUGUUAUUGGGUACGUUGAUUCUGACUAUGCCGGUGAUUUGGACAAGCGAAGAUCAACCACCGGUUAUGUGUUUACACUUGCUGGAGGACCAAUAAGUUGGAAGUCUACACUACAGUCUACAGUUGCAUUGUCAACCACAGAAGCCGAGUACAUGGCUGUAACAGAGGCUGUAAAGGAGGCUGUUUGGUUAUAAGGUAUGGCUAAAACCUUGGGGUUGGUUCAGGAGCAUAUUAACGUGUAUUGUGAUAGUCAAAGUGCUAUUCAUUUAGCAAAGAAUCAAGUCUAUCAUGCACGUACAAAACAUAUCGACGUACGAUUCCAUUUUGUGCGAGAAAUUAUUGAAGAGGGGAAAAUUUGUCUUCAGAAGAUCAAGACUGCAGAUAAUCCCGCAGAUAUGAUGACCAAGGUGGUAACAGCAACCAAGUUCGAACAUUGUUUGAACUUGAUUAAUAUCCUGCAAGUUUAACAGUUGAAGAAGGCACUAUCAAGUAUUGUGGCUAGGAAAGACUUGGUAUUUAAGUGAUCUUCGUGAUCUACCUCUCUUUCCUGGGAAUUGAACUUAGUGUGAUUUUUCAGUACAAUAAUUUUACUCUUUCACACGCUUCCGCGCAACACACAAUCUUGGUUAAUAAGUUGCCUAGCAAGACAAACACCAGGGAAUAGAAUUACAAAUAAAGCAAAAUGGGGCAUUAGGUGGCCCAACAAUGGCAGUUUUGCUUUUAAUUUGGGCAUGCUAAAAUUUUGGGUAGGGAAGAAGAACAACAAUGAGGGUUAACGAUUAAGUUUCUAACUAAACCAGGGAAAUAUAUAAGAAAGCUUCAAUGGGAGAAGAAGCAUUAAUGGGGACAGAAGACUUUGACUACUCUUCAGCUUUAUUUGGGAUGAAUAUUUCAUUUUCAAUAAAUUGUUUACACCUUUUAUUCUUUUAUCUUUUUUCUGGGAAACACCUUAAUCAAAGCACAUCUAAUUCCAAGAACAGAGCCGCGGUUAUCUCAAGCAAAAGAAAAAGAAGAUUUUAAUAUUAUUCAAAAAUUUUAAAUAAAUUUGGACCAUAUACUUGUAGAUCAACCUUUAUCACCUUAAUAAAUUCCAAUUACAAUGAGGAACAAGACAAUGCAAGUCUUAAGUCUUCUUUGAAACACAAAAACAUUUAAGUGGCUGAGAGCAACAACUGUUAUUGCUUUGGUCCUUUUGUGUUAAGUAAGACAACAGUUUGUUGGAUAUUUCUAAAAAGCAAGUUCAUAGUUAGAACUGUCAAGCAAGGCGACUCAAUGCCCAAUUGUAUAGAUUUUUUUUUCUUCCACGAAUAAUACUUAACCACUUUUCAAAUAAUUUUAUUAAUAUAAUUACAUGUUUUUAUCCAUUCGACUGUGAUACUCGAACUUGACAACUAGUUAUAUUUUGGUUCCUAAACUUAAAAAAUAUGAAAGUUUUAUGAUGCAACUCUCUAAUAUUGUGCUACAUCAUCACUUGAAAAUUAAAAAAAAAAUUAUAUAAAUUUUUAGAGAAUGGCAUGAUACAAUCUCUAAGUGUCACGUUCAUUAUUUUAAUAAUCAAGUUGAUGAUUGAACCAGUCAGACCACUAUUACUCGAUUCAAUUAGUUUGAUCAGUUCGACUGCUAGACCAACAAUAAUUAAAUAAAUCAUUAAACAUUCAUAAAAUUCUAAAAAGGUAGAAAACAAAAUUUAUUAAACUGAUUAAACAUGGUCAACAGCUGGGGUUUUUUUAAAAUUUUUUUAAUUUUUACCAAUUUCAAGUAAUUUUUAUAUUUAAUUGAUUCAACAUCUUUGUUCAAACUAUUAUACCGAUCGAUUCUCGGUCCAAUCAAUCUAACCAUCCAAUCCACUCCUAUACUAGUAACACUAAUCAUAUUAUCAAAUCUUGAUGGAAUUCAAGUUUAAGUUUAAGGGACUAUAGUAGACUUAGCUGCCAAGUUUAGAUAUCAAAGUGGACCAAAAUUUUCGCUUAUUUUAAAGAGAUCUUAUUUUUCUAAAAGUUUUUACUCUUUUUUUUAAUUACUAUAUAAUUUGUACUAAUUAUUUAAAACAUGUGUUAAAUCAUUUUUAACCAUACUCAAAACCAUUUUUUUAAUCAAAUAUAAGUACUUAAUAUUUAAUUAAAUUAAAAAGAUCAAAGAGAUAAAUUUCAAAAUUAUAUAUGAACUUUAAUUUAAUGUACUGCAAUUGUAUAUAUGAAUUUUAAUUUGGUGCAAUUAUACACUUGUAACUCUAAUUGUGGUUCAAAUAUAUACUUUAAACUUUAUAUAUACAAUUACACAUUAAACCAUAGUGUAUGUAUACAUAAUUCAUAAGUUGUACAUAAGAAGUAAGUUUUGGUUAGUGUAAUAUAACUGUGAUUCAAGAUUACGCAUUCAUUUCAGACAAAGCACACCCUUUGAAAUUCAAGUUUUGAUUCUGAUUCUUUCUUCUUCUUUUUUUAAUAAAACCUCUAUGAAAGAAUUUUUUUUUUAAUUCCUUAACGGUAGUGAUUUUGGGUUAUGGAGAAAAAAGGAGUGAAAAGUUGUGAUUUAUGUGGAAGUAGGGAUUUUUCUGUUUUAAUAGUUUUAGAAAUGGAUUUGAUGGAGAUUUCAAUAAUGCUUCAUGUUGGAUUAGUUUUGUUGCUACUUUGGAUGCUUUCUCAAUUCAAUCUUUGCCAUCCACUUCCUUAUUUCCUGUCUCUCAUCUACCUCUAUUUGGCAAUUCAUUCAUCUUCUGCUGAGAAUAAAAAAUGAAACUUUUUUUCUUUAUUUUUGAGCUUGGAUAUUGAACUUUUUUUUUAUUGUUUUUGUUACAGAAAUUCCUUUUAUUUCUUUGUUCAUCAAAGGUUCAUGAAAUGUAUGUGACGAGAUUGAGGAAGAAAUUGGAGUUGGAGGAAAUAAUGCACAAAGAAACUAGACAUGUCAACAACAAAACAAUAAUGCCAACAUUCUCAAAAGCAACAACAAAAAUGUUUUAAAAAAGGAAAUAGACAUCACACUUAGAGUAUAGAAAUACUUGGAUUGUAACCAUGAAAAACGAAAUAAGAUAUCCAACAUCCUCAUCACAAUGGAUUCUCCUCUGAUUCAUUACUAGCCUCUGCAAUGUAAUAACACGAUUAAAAGUUAUUGUAGCAGUAACUCUUAUAAAUAUUAAAAAACUAACUUGUAAAUACAUCGAUCAUGUCUAAAUCUAAUCUAAGUCAAGGUUGAUCUAAACAUGAAAAUUCUAACAAAUUCAUCUCAAUUCAGUCCAACUAAACCUAAACUAAAUUGACACAAAAAUCUAUUUAUAUAAUUUACUUUUAAUUUAUAUAUAACUUUACUUAUGAUUUAAAUUUAUACAUUUAAUAUUGAACAAAUAGUCAAAUUAAAAAAUUUUGGUAAUUAUGAACAAUAACUUAAGACAUAGGUAAUUAAAGAAAAUACUAAUAUAUAUUUAUAUUUAUAUAUAAGGCAAAAUAAUAUAAAGCUAAAAAGUGAGAUAAUGAAGUAAAAUGUUUCUAACCUUAUGCAAUAUUUGAAUUCGCUAUAGUAACACUAUCCAAUGGUGUACUUGGCUCGUUAUUAGAGUUCUCACAAUUAUGAACCUCCAUUGAUGUUUCAAGAGGAAGUUGAUGGAAUGGCUUAGGAGUUCAACAUCAGAUUCAAGUAUCUUCAAGAUUUUACUCAUUGAAGGGCAAUUAUUAUCUUCUUCACCGUUACUUUUUCAUCGUCAGAAAUAUCUCCGAACUCCAAGUCCUCUCCUUGAUCCAAUCGGUCAUAAAUCCAAGAUGGAAAAUAUAUUUGACUAGUGCGGUCAGCAAAUGCAUUCACAUUCUUUCUCCUUCCAACUAUUUCUAUCAAUACAUUCCAAAACUAUAAACAUCGGCUUUGUAUGAGAUGCCUCAAUAUAAAGUGAUAAUUUUAUAAAUUUCGUGCAAUUCAUAACAUAAAUAAUGCUAACCUCUAACCUUCCAUCAUAAUAAUUACCAUAAGGAUAAAUAUAAGAAUAAGAAUCUACAGAAGUAAUUAAGAGGAAGGGAGUUGCAAUCAUCCGUGUCCAACAAUCAACCCCUCCCAUAGUAGGCUGUCGAGGAGCCUCCUGCACAUCAUAAAUAGCACGAGUUGUACGCCCCAAAGCAUUUGCCAAGGACCAUCAAGACGAAGGUCAAUAACAUUUGUGUAAAUUUGGAGUGCUACCUUACAGCCAAAACUAACAGAAUAGUGACUGCUGUUUGGAUUGAAAUGUCAAAUGAGUCAGUUCGGAGUCGGAUACAAGCAAAGUAGCAUUCGAAGCAUCCGUUGCGCAUCAUAGGGGAUAGAAGACCUUGAGUUACAUGAUUUCAUUUUGAGUAUUGAAAAUUGAAAAUAGGAUAACUACCAACCACUAAUAUAUUAUCAGCAAAAUCUCCCAAUUGAAAGAACAAAAGAUGCAUCUAUACUAUGUUUAAAAGUUUAAUAGAGUUUAUGGUUAUCUAUCAAUGAGGUAUCAACUCAAUUGUAAAAUCAUUAAAAUCUUAUUAUUUUUAAAAACAAAAAAUAUUAUUUUGAAGGUAUUUUUAUUUUUAAUUAAACUUUAUAAAAUACAUCAAUUUAAUAGAAUUUGAACCCAAAACAUCAUAAUCCUUAUUACCUAAAUUUUACCAUAUUAAACAAAGCCACAUUUAGCUUUUAUAUCAUUUUUUAAAUAAGCUUGUUAUAUCAUUUUUUUUCACCCAUGUGAGGGUGCCAUAAUCUAAUAUAUCUUUAUUUAAUAAGUAAUAAUCCCAUAUGCAUUAGAGAGUAUUAAGUUGAGUUAUUAAAUUUAGGGUUUGUUAUAUUCUAACGAGUUAUUUUCAAUUCCAUUGAAAUGAUUUAUAGGUGAUAAAUUUUACAAUUUAAUACGAUUAAUUUUAUUAUAUUACAAUGAAAAACAAAAGAAAAAGAAGAAUUUAAUAUGGUUCAAAGUUUUUAAAUAAAUCUGGACCAGACAAACCUUUACCAUUAAUCUAUUCCAACUUCAAUGAGAACGACCACGACGAUGCAAGUCUCAAGUCCUGUUUGAAACGCAAAAGCUUUCAAGUGGUUGAGAGCAGCAAGCCCGAUCCCUUUUGUCCGUUUGUGUUAUGUAAGUCAAUUGUAGAGAACGAUUGUUGGAUAAUUCUAAACGCAAGUUAAUAGUUAGAAUCCUUGAGCAACGCACAUUCCGCCCCAACCCAUGCAUAACGUUAGACGAGACUCAAUGACUAAUUGUAUAUAUUUUUAAUUUUGUUCAACAACUACAUAAGUAUAUUUUUAAAUGAUUGUUAAUAUAAUUACAUGUAUUUUCAUCUAUUUUAUAUGAAUUUAAAAUAUUACAAAUUAAAUAUAAUAUAAGAUACAAGUUCUAUUCAAUUAAAUUUAAAUUUAAAUUCAAAAUUUAAAUUAUCCAACAAUAUAAAUAGUAGACAUAAAUUCAAAGAAAAAAAUUUAGGGUUUAGCUGGAAGAUUACCUCUCAAAUUCGACUAAAAUAAAUAAACAGAAUUUAACUCGGAGAUUACCUCUCAAAUUUAACUGAAAUAUGAAACAUACUCAAUAAUAAAGGUAACAAUUCAAAGGUAUGAAGCUACAUAAAUUCUUAGUUAUGUCUUUGAAAUAUUUUCAUAAAGGCAUGUGCAAAAACUUUUUGAUUCUAAACAAAUUCAUUGUCUCAAUAUUACUUAUUUAAAAUCAAAUCCACGUUUAUUUUUAAACAACUUCCAACAAUGUAUUUGGCUUGUAAUACCCAAUUUUAGCUCGGGCUCACAUAUGGAAACAUAAUCUUCAAGGAUAUGUAAUCUUAGAUAUGAUAUGUGCAAUCUUGGAUAUGAUAUGUGCAAUCUUGGAUAUGAUAUGCAAUCUUAGAAGAUAUGAUUUUGUAAUAUUAGAGAUUUAAUUUGUAGAUACCCUUUAAUCUUAGCCGUUGAUGUAAUUGGUCUGUACCGUUGGAUUUGGGGAGGCUCAACUAUAAAUAGAGGCCUCUCCCUUUAUUGUAAAGGGGGGAGAAAAAACAAUAAAAAAGGGAGAACGAUUGGCAGUUUUUUAAAGGUGACUUACUGUUUUUUUUUCAAUUAUUUAUUUAUGAUUUUAAAAAAGGAAGAAGGUGAUACCACUACGAAUUUUAUUUAUUUAUUUUUAUUUAGCCCUAAUAAAGUGACGCGUUUCAAAGGAUGGGAAUAUUUUUCCAUUCGAGGCCUAUGAGUUAUUCGCGCCUUUUAAUUGGGCCCUACAUUUUUUUCCCUUUAAUUAUGUUUUUGUUGCAAUUUAAUCCCUUUUGUAUUUGUGCUUUUACUAAUUAAUUGAUUAUUAUUAUUAUUUAUUAAUCCUAUUAUUAUUUCUACUAUUAUUGUUAUUAUUAUUUUCAUUAUUUCUUCUUAUCAAUUUACUUAAAUUUCAUGCGCAUAGCUUUAUCUUACUUUGUAUUUUAAUUUAUAUUACUAUUAUAUGUCAUUAUUUAAUUUUAUAAUAUAUUUUUCCUAUUCCUUUUAUAUAUUUGCCUCCAAAUAUGGUAUAUCUUCAACGAUUUUGGUUUUAUUUUUUAUUCAUUUAAAUAUAUUUCUAUAUUUUAAUAGAUUUAUAUAAUAAUAUUUUUUUACAAUACCAUGCUUUGUAUAUAUACAUGAUUGAUAUUAAAUUAUUCUUGUUAUAAAUUAUAGAUUUCAUUUUCGUCUUAUUACCAUAUAUAACUUUCCUCUUAAAAAACUAUUUUAUUAUAUUUUACCUAUUUUAUUGUAUUUCGUUUACUUCAAAUUCUUUUUACAUAUAUUAUUGUAUAUUAUUAUAAAGUCUUCUACUUUUCUAAAUAUACGUAUUUUACAUAUAUCACUUUUUUUCCCUAUUUAUUGCCAAUAUGGUGCAAGAUUGUUGUACUUGUUAUUGCGACAUUAUUACACACAUUCAGUAUCACAUUACAUCAUCUUCUUAUUCAAAUUUAAAAAAAAUAGGAAUUUUAAAAAUUGAGAUAAUGCUCGUAUUUAGGAUUUUCAAGGAAAUUGAGCCCUAACGUACAUUGGGUUUCGAUUUUUUUUGUUAAAUCUAACGAUCGAGAGUUGCUCAUUAAUCAUAAAAAAAAUAAAAUGAAAAGCUUGUUGUCGGGAAUUUAAUAUGUUGUGUCCUAACGUAUUGGAUGUGAUGUAUUUUUUUCUCGAUACAAAGAUUUUUUUUUAAAUAAUAACAAAGGAAGUAUUCCAAGUUUAGGAUUUUGAGAAAUUGUGCCCUAACGUAUUGGCCCGCGAUUUCUUAAAUCUUAAACAAAUGAAUAUUCUUUUAAAUUUUAUCGCUCGAGUAUUUUGGCCUAAUUCAUUUUUGAGGGAUUAGAAUGUCGUGCCCUAACGCAUUGGGUGUGACAUUUUUUUUCCUCCGAAAUGAUAAGAGUCUUAAUAAGUAACGUUUUUAAGUUUUUGCUAAGGAUUAUAUUUUUCAAAAUUUUUGACAUUAAGACACUAAUUAAUUAACUAGGUACCAAUUUUAGGCGUUACGAGGGUGUUAAUCCUUCCUCGUACGUAACCGACUCCCGGAUCCAUUUUUCUAAAACUCGUAGACCAAAUCUAUUUUUUUAGGUGAUCCAAUCACACCUCAAUAAAAUAUUGGUGGCAACUCCCAAUUUUUUGUUUUUUAAAAGUCGACAAAUAAAUUUUUGUUUUUCAAAAAAAUGGUUUCGACAUGGCUCAUCCAACAAAUUAUUUUUAAACAACAUUUAUUUAAAAAGAACCAAAUGAGAAUCAUUAUACAACUUUAUAAAGUCGAUGACACAUCCAACAUUUAAAGCACAAAGAAACUAGAUAGGCCAACAACAACAAAAAUAAUACCAACAUUCUCAAAUAUCGCAACAAAUUUGUUCUAAAAACAAAAGAUAGCGCAUCUCACCUAGAGCGUAGAAAUACUUAGAUUCAAUCAUUGUAACAACGAAAAAGGAAACAAGACAUCUAACAUCCUCAUCACAAUUGAUUCUCCUCUGACCCUCCAACAGCGUCUGCAUUAAUGCAAUAAAACAAGAAGAGGCUAUUGUGAUAGCAACUCUUAUAAAUAUUCCAAAAUUAACUUUUAGAUGCAUCAGGUCUUAAUCUAAGGCAAAGGGUUUAUCCAAACAUGAAAAAUCUAACCAACUCAAUUCAAUUCAACCCAACCUCAACCUAUCUAUGUACUUUACUUUUAAUUUAUAUGUAAUUUCAAUUAUGGUUUAAUUUAAAUAUUUUUUAACAAAAAUUUUAAAUACUUAAUAUUGAACAAAUAGCGAUAUUAAUGAAAAUUUGUAAUUAUGAACAAUAACUUAACACAUAGGUAGGUAAAAGUGUUUUUUUUUUACUUAAUAAUAUUAUUAGCAUUAGUACGUUAUUAAUUGUAUAUGAAAAUAGUGAAGCUUAAAAGUUAAAUUUUAAAGGUAAUGUCAUUGUCAAAUUUACUCAAAAUUUAUUUUUAACUAUAGUUAUCUAUGUACAUAUGUGACACACAUAAUAAGAUGCUAAUAUAUAUGUAAGGCACACUACACCAAAACAGGUUUUUAGCGGCAUUUUUUUAUGCCUUUAGCGGCGCUUUUUAGCGUUGCUAAAAGUAUUUGUGGCGUUUUUGGAAGCGCCGCAAAAAAUGCCGCUGUUCUCAACGCCGCAAACGUUUGUGGCUUUUUUAUAAAUAAACGCCGCUAUAGAUUAAGACCUUUAGCGGCGCUUUUUCAACAAACGCCGUUAUAGAUCAGGAUCUUUAGCGGCGCUUUUUUACAAACGCCGCUAUAGCUCAAGACCUUUAGCGGCGCUUUUUCAAAAAACGCUGCUAUAGAUUACGACCUUUAGCGGCGUUUUUUUCACAAACGCCGCUAUAGCUCAAGACCUUUAGCGACGCUUCUCGCAAAAACGCCACUAAAAACAUAACAUUUAAAAAAAGUAUUUUAAUCAAAUAAUAUUUAUUUUUAUGAUAAAUAUUAUAUUAUGUUUUAUUUUUUAAAUUUGAACUUUAAAUAUACUUUUAAGGAUAAAAAGUAUUAUUUAAUAGAAAAUUUUAACUUUAAAACUAAAUAUAAAAAUUAAUGAAUUUAGUUUUAGAAUUUAAAAUAAUAAAUUAAUAACACAAUUAAAAUCCAAAAGUUAGAACUCAAGUUGUCGUAAAUAUUAAAGUAAUAUUUACACAUUGCAAGGUAAUAAAAAAUACAAUGCAUUUUCUUAAUCAAGUAAAUCUUGGUAAUAAAAAAUACAAUGCAAACUACAUCUGCUACAUUCCUGGUUAUCCAAUCUUCAUGUACCCUGCAGAAUUGGGAAAAUAAUUAUAGUGCAUUAAAACAAAAAUUGAUAUUGACAAGUUAAAUGUGAAAGGAAAACAACAUGAAUGCAAAAAUUAAUACUCGAGGAAAUUGACAACUUAGCUAUCUCAACCAUGGAAAUGAAUUAGAUAUUGAAUAAGAGAGAUUACAGCAAUGAAACCAAUGAAUUCCUAGUUUACAUAUGUAUGUGCCACUGGACUUGUUAAGUGAAGAAUGAGAACCAAAUUUUUUUCAAUGACUACAGGACAUAAGACCAAGAGCAUCAAAAGUUUCCAAACAUGAAACAACUAAUCUAUUAAGCAAGUCAGAAAAUCAACGAGCUUAUUGUUUUAGCUAAUAGUGGAACAAGGAGACAAUUGAGAUCAAUUGAGACUAACCUCGGCUGAGAUGCAGAAGUUUCACGACAAUCAGAAAAGAUCACCUUGAUAUACUUAUAAUCUUCGCACCAUAAAUAAUCAAAGUAAUAAUCAUCGAUAUUAUUCACCUUGUUGCCUAACCUCACAUAAUAAUCAAAAUAAAUUUUAAAACCGCUCAAAAAUUUUAAAUAGAUUACAUCAACAUAUAUUGAGCAUAGCAACCUUCUAAAGAGAAAAUCAAACAAAUCAACUAAACGAACAUAGAAAAAUUGAUGCUUCAAACCAAAACACCAGAAUUUACUUUACCUCCAUCCCAUGGGGUGUCAUCAAGUCUGCAAAUCCAUCAAGUAAAGACAUUAGCACAAUUUAAUAGAACUUUAAUCUAAAAAGAAAGUACAUAAAGAUUCUCUAGUCUUAUUUCAUAAUAUACCCAAAUAUAACAGCAUUCCAAAGCAUAAUGUUGUUAUCUUGAGGUGCACCACUAAUUCCUGCACAAAAUAAAUGAUAAAAAAGGCCACAGUUCUUUAGCAUAAACAGCAAACAAAUUAGAUGAAAACCGGACUUCUACAACUAAACCGAGUUGUAGUAACAGUAUCCAAACGCCGCUAAAAGCCUGUUUUGGUGUAGUGGCAAAAUAUUAUAAAGUUAAACAGUGAGAUAAUGAAGUGAAAUGUCUCUAACCUUAUGCAAUUUUGAACUUGUUAUAGUAACAGUAUCCAAUGAUGCACUUGGCUUAUCAUUAGAGUUCUCAUAGCUAUGAACCUCCAUUGAUGUUUCAAGAGGAAGUUGAUGGAAUGGCUUAGGAGACAUCACAAGGAGUUCAACAUCAGAUUCAAGCAUCUUCAAAACUUUACUCAUUGAAGGACGAUCAGAAGGCAGUAAUUGUAUACACCAAAAGGCUAUUAUUACCAUUUUCUUUACCAUUGCUUUUUCAUCGUCAGAAACAUCUCCCAACUCCAAGUCCUUUCCUUGAUCUAAUCGGUCAUAAAUCCAAGAUGGAAACUAUAUUUGACUAGUGUGGUCAGCAAAUGCAUUCACAUUCUUUCUCCUUCCAACCAUUUCCAUCAGUAACAUUCUAGAACUAUAAAUGUCAGCUUUGUAUGAGAUGCCUCCAAGAUUUUUGUAAACCAAUUCAGGAGCAAUAUAUCCUAUCGUUCCUCGUGCCGCAGUGAGAGAGACAAUGCUGUCAUCUACUGAAUACAAUUUAGCAAGACCAAAAUCAGAAACUUUUGGAUUAAAAUUCUCAUCAAGAAGAAUAUUGUGUGGCUUGAUAUCAAAAUGUAGAAUUUGCAUGUCACAUCCUUGAUGUAAGUAGUGAAUUCCUUGAGCCACCCCAAGUACAAUAUCAAACAUUUUUUCCAGCCCAAAGUGUUCUUAUUUUCUUCUGUAAAUAUGAUUUUAUCUAAAGAUCCAUUAGACAUGAAGUCAUAUACCAGAGCUUGCUUUGAUCCCUCCACACAAAAUCCGAUAAGUUUUGCCACGUUAGCAUGAUGAAUUGUCCCAAUGGAAGCAACUUCAUUUAUGAAAUCUUGGCCAUUACCCUUUGACUUGCCCAACAAUUUUAUUGCCACAUGAUGCCCACUACGAAGCUUUCCUUUAAACAAUGAGCCAUAACCUCCUUCACCUAAUUUAUCUUUAAAAUUUUUAGUCAUUUUUUUAACUUCUUUAAAAGAAUACCUUAUCGGCACUAGAUUAUUUUGGCUUUGAAGGAACUCUUCAAUUGUAUCAUCCAUAGAUAAAUGUCUUCUUCUCCAUUCGUACGUGACAAGAGCAAACAAACAAAUUAUCUCAGGAAAUGACCUCAAAAAGAUAACUCCACCUUUAAAGAAAUACAAUGUAACACGUUGAAAUUAAUCACAUAAUAUAUAACUUACAUUCUCAGAAAAAAGGAUAUAGUGUGAUAGUUUUAUGUUAACUAGUAUUUGAGAGAGUGGCAUAUUUCACUAGUCUAUGGACUUAAUCGAGAGUAGUCUGAAUUAUAUGUUAUGUUUUGGUCAUUAGCAGGUAUAUCUCAACAAAUUAAAAUUCAGAAUUUCAAACACAAAAGGAGUAAAUCAUGCGAAGUGGAUACCAAUUAUUCUAACCUCACACAUUCCAAUAGAUUUGACAGGGUCAUGACAUUCACCCAAAUUAACACAUUCGUAACCCCGUCCAAUUAGCAAAUUCUAAAGAAAGCACAUGUUUCUUAACCAUGAAGGAUACUCAACGGUUGUCUCUAUUCAUGCCAAAUAAACUUGAGGAUGGACAAAUUAAAAAAUUAAUUAAACUGAAUUUUAGUAUUUUUAUUUUAAUAAUUUAUUUAAUCAAUAAGAUUAAUUAGAAUUAGAGGUGUUCAUGGGCCGGGCGGCCCGGCCCGGCCCGGUCCGGUCCAACAGCCCGUCCGAAAUAUGGGAGGGUUUGGGUAAAAAUAUAGGCCCGAAAUAUGGGCUUGGGCAAAAAAACGAGGCCCGAUUAAAAAACGGGCCGGGCCUCGGGCACAACUUUUUUUGGCCCGGGCCUGGCCCGGCCCGAAUAUAAUAAAUAUUUUAUUAUUUUUUUAAUUUUAAAAUACUUUAAAAAUACUUUUAUUAAAUUUUUUAAAUUUUAAAAUUUUUUUAAAAUGCUUUUUUAAUUUUUUUAAUUUUAAAAUAUUUUUAAAAUACUUUUUUUAAUUUUUAUUUUAAUUUUUAAAAUAAAUUUUUGGUAUUUAUUUAAAAAAUAGGAUAGGCCCGGGCUACAAAAUUUUUUCCUGGGCCCGACCCGAACCCGACCCAUGAGCACCUCUAAUUAGAACAAUGAACCAAUGAUUUAAAUUUCAUCAUAAUCUAACUCUAAAAAUUGUGGAUUUGAGCGCUCCCAAAUUUUCCUUCGCUUUCUCUCUCUCUCUGUUCUUCAACAUCGUGUUUAGAUCCGUCCCUCCCAGCCUUGAAAGAUUCCGUCUUUGACCCUUCUUCGUUGAAUCUAUCAAACAAAUUAGGGUUCCGAUCUGUUACCUGUUGUGUUCGUUUAAAAUUUUUUUUUCUUUGCCUCAAAAUUUCAUCUUCAGAAAGAGAGAGAGAGAGAGAGAGUUUUCGAUUUUCCUUGAUUUUGCUUGAGAUUUAUGUUCUAAUCUGAAAUUCAUUACCUUAAUGAUUUGCUAUAUCGGUUCGAUCUCCAUUACGAUUGCUUGCUUUUUGUAUCGGAUUUGGGGUUAAAUCCAAGCUUGCGUGUUUUUACAUUAAAUCAGUAACCAUCGGCUCAAACUCUACCCCUCUUUCUAUCUGGAAAAUUUUUACAUUAAAACAAACGGAGUUUGAAAGUUAAAAAUUGACAUUCCAUUGAGUUUAAGUUUGAAAGUUUGGCUCAACUCACCGAUUACAGCCGCUUACAUGAAGUAGAAGCCCUUAUUACAUCAAUACAUCUGUGUGUGUGUUUUUUUCCGCUUCCUCUUCUUUCUUUUGGCCUUUUUUUUCCUCUAAAAGCCGCACCUACAGCUUACUCCGUUCCCUGACAUUUGCCCUUAAAAUUACACUGAAAAUGCCCACAUGUUCCCCAAACUUCAUAUAUUACUCAAGUUUCGAUUCCUUGUCUCCGCAUCGAACCGCCACUUUACACAGUCAAACUCUGUGUUACGAAUUACCGCCUGCGCCACCUAUUGGACGAUAUGCCCAAACCAAGUUGAAAGCCCGAAUGAAGAAGCUAUAGAGCAUCCGAGAGUCUCCAUCGAUAUUUUCAACCAAUGGGGUUGCUGUGAAAACGAUUUGUUGAAGAUCUUUUCACGCCAACCUUCUUUGCGCAACGCUCAAGCUACUCCCCUUUUAUCCAAACUCAACUUGCUGAGUAGCUUGGGACUCACCGGUUCCGACAUUGUCAAGAUGGUCAAUUGUCGUCCUCGUUUCUUUUGUUCUCGUAUCAAUAAUUGCUUCGACGAGCGGAUUGAGUUCCUCGUUAACCUGUUCGGGUCGCGAGAAAUGCUUCGUAAAGCACUUGUUAGGAACCCUUCCCCCUUGACCUAUGAUUUUCACAAUGCCAUGAAACCAGUCAUUGCAUUGUACGAAGAGAUUGGCAUUAGAGGAAAUGAUUUGAUUGCUAUGCUCAUCUCACGUCCCACAUUGAUCCCAAGGACUUCUUUCAAUGAGGAGAAGAUGGAAUACAUAAAGAAAACAGGGGUUUCAAAAGGUUCCAAAAUGUACAAGUACAUAGUUUCACUCAUCGGAAUAUCGCGGAUCGAGACUAUACGUGAAAAGGUGACUAACUUGGAGAAAUUCGGAUGUUCAGAGGAAGAGAUUUGGAGUUUGUUGGGACGUUAUCCUCUUAUUUUGACACUUAUUUUGAAACUCUCGGUUGAUAAGGUUCAAAGGAACAUGACCUUUGUUUUGGGAACCAUGAAGCUGUCUCCAAGAGUGGUGCUUGAGCACCCCUUUUCUUGUUGUUCAGCAACCUCGAAGCCGUAUCGAAACCGCGGAUAUCGUUGGCUAGGAAACUAAAGGAAAUGGAGCUUGAUCCGCAGAUUAAAGGACCGAUCAUGUUGGCGGCAUUGAGGAUGACGGAAAAUCGAUUCUUGAAUGUGUUUAUUAAAUGCCAUCCGCAAGAUGUAGCAAAUGAACUGUUGGAGUUCUAUAAACAUGCCAAAGGUCUCAAGCCAUUGGCCGAAUCAUCGAAAAAAAUACUGCGUAAAGGAUUUCCAUUUUGAACAUUUUCGUUUGUUUGUUUGGUGCUGUCUUCGUUUUCUUUUUGUUCAUUCAUGCCAAGGGAUAUUUCGAUUAAAUUUUCAGAUUUAUAACUUUUAUUCUCAAAGGGAUAAUGUGAGACUCAAAAUUUUGGGAUAUAAAAAGGGAUGCCUCUUCGUGUUUCAUUGGUGUUCUCUCUCUGCUUAUAUUCCUUUUACUCCCCGUGAUGAAGAGUUGAAAUUUUUUCUAUGUAUGAUGGCUGGAGGGAAUAUAGAUUAUGGAACUCCACCAUUAUUAACUUUGUAGGCUCAAUUGGCACCAUUGUUGUGGUGCAACUAGAAAUAUGUGGGUUAAAACGUGUUUAAAGGCGUAUUUUCUUUUUAUUUAAGAGUUUAAAGGAGAUUAUAAUUUGUGAACAGUAAUUUUUUAAGGUAAAUCUUAUUCUAUAUAUUUUGACCGAUGAUUAUUUUUAUCCUUAAUAUAAAUUUGUGUUAAUUUUGGUUUGGAUGAUGUUUAUUAUUAUUUUUAAUUACUUUUCAAUGCGGAUAAAAUCUUGCACCAAUUAAAAUUCAUAUAUUAUUAUUAAAAAAGAUAAAUAAACAAAUUAAAUCUUUUUAAACUUCUUAUUUAUUUUCAAAGUUUAUUAAAUAGUAUUAUUUUAUUUUAUAUAAUUAAUGUAAAGUAAUAUAUGGGGCAAAAUAAUAUAAAGCUAAAAUGAAGUGAAAUGUUUCAAACCUCAUACAAUAUUUGAACUUGUUAUCGUACCAAUAUCCAAUGAUUUACUUGACUCAUCAUUAGAGUUCUCACAUGAUGUUUCAAGAGGAAGUUGAUGGAAUGGCUUAGGAGGCAACUCAGGGAGUUCAACAUCAGAUUCAAGCAUCUUCAAGACUUUACUCAUUGAAGGAUGAUUAGAAGGCAAUAAUUGUAUACACCAAAAGGCAGUUAUUCAUCUUCUUCACCAUUACUUUUUCAUCGUCAGAAACAUCUCCUAGCUCUAUGUCCUCUCCUUGAUUUAAUCGGUCAUAAAUCCAAGAUGGAAAAUAGAUCUGACUAGUGUGGUCAGCAAAUGCAUUCACAUUCUUUCUCCUUCCUACCAUUUCCAUCAGUAACAUUGCAAAACUAUAACCAAUUCAGGAGCAAUAUAUCUUAUCGUUCCUCGUGCCGCAGUGAGAGAGACAAUGCUAUCAUCUACUGAAUACAAUUUAGCAAGACCAAAAUCGGAAACUUUUGGAUUAAAAUUCUCAUCAAGAAGAAUAUUGUGUGGCUUGAUAUCAAAAUGUAGAAUUUGCAUGUCACAUCCUUGAUGCAAGUAGUGAAUUCCUUGAGCCACCCCAAGCACAAUAUCAAACAUUUUUUUCCAGCCCAAAGUGUUCUUAUUUUCUUCUGUAAAUAUGAGUUUAUCUAAAGAUCCAUUAGACAUGAAGUCAUAUACCAGAGCUUGCUUUGAUCCCUCCACACAAAAUCCAAUAAGUUUUGCCACAUUGGCAUGAUGAAUUCUACCAAUAGAAGCAACUUCAUUUAUGAAAUCUUGGCCAUUACCUUUUGACUUACCCAACAAUUUUAUUGUCACAUGAUGCCCGCUACGAAGCUUUCCUUUAAACACUGACCCAUAACCCCCUUCACCUAAUUUAUCUUUAAAAUUUUUAGACAUUUUUUUUAUUUCAUUAAAGGAAUACCUUAUCGGCACUAGAUUAUUUUGACUUUGAAGGAACUCUUCGAUUGUAUCAUCCAUGGAUAAAUGUCUUCUUCUCCAUUUGUACGUAACAAGAGAAAACAAACAAACAAAUUAUCCUAGGAAAUGACCUGAAAAAGAUAAUUCCACCUUUAAAGAAAUACAAUGUAAUGCAUCAGUACUUGUGAAAUUAAUCAAAUAAUGUAUAACUUACAUUCUCAAAAAAGUAAAUAAUGUGAUUGUUUUAUGCUGUUUUAUAAUUAACUACUACUUAAAAGAGGGGCAUAUUAUGUAAUGGCCUAAAUUUUCAGUGGUGUCGGAAUGGUGAUUCGAGAUCACUAAAUCUAAAAAAAAUGAGUAGAAAAUAUUAUUAAUUUAGUGAGAAUAAGUAAAUGUGAAGUUGGGAAAAUUUUUGAAAUAGUGAAUAGUGUACUAAGAAUAAAUAUUAAAAUAAUUAAAAUAAAAAAUGAGGUAUCGAGACCUUGAAGAUUUUAAACCGAGCCAUAAAUAUUUUUAGAAAUAUUUUUAGAGUGUCAUUGAGUUGGUAUUAAAGUUUCGUUAGAAAAUUUUAACGUUUGGAUAGUCAAUUAACUAAAAAGGACUAAAUUGAAAAUAGUGUAAAAUUUGUUAAAUUGUGAUUAAAUAGCCUAAGUGAUUAAAAAUGAGGGAUUUAAAAGACAAUUAGGCCCAAACUAUAUGGGCUGGACGGUUGGGCAAGAAAAAUCUGGAAAAGUGAUGUAAUAAGGGUAAAAUUGGAAAUUUUGUAAAAGUUAACAAAUAAAAAUCUCAAUUAAAAGAGUUUCUAGGCAAUUCUUCAUAAUUAUCAGCCAAAAAAUGCCAUUUAAGUGUCCUUCCAAGCCGGUUUUUCAUAUAUUUGAAUCAUGUAAGUUUAAUUCUUGAUUAUUUCUUCUAAUUUUUGUGGUUUUGAUACUUUUACAAUUAGGUCCAACUAAUUGUUUCAUUAGUUAUUGAUUUUAUGGAUGAUUUUGAAAGUUACCAUUGAUGAGUACUGAAUUUUUAUGAUGAAUAAACAUGGAAUUAAAGCUUUGAUUUUGUUAUAUGAUGAUUCUAUUAAAGUAAUUUUGAUAGAAAUUGAUUUUAGGGACCUAAUUGUAAAAAGUUGGGAAUUAGGGUUUGGGGUUGCGGUUUUGAAUAUGGAAGGCUAUGUAGUAGUCUAAAAUAGUUGGAAAAUGUGUUAAUUGAGAAAAAUUAGAUCAAUUGAGGGGUUAAUUGAGUAGAGACCAAAUUGUAAAAAUUGUAAAGCUUGGGGUAAAAGUGUAAUUUUGAGAAUUUAAGGGCAGAAACUGUGAAAUGAAUUAGAAUAGAAUUAAAUGCUGAUGAAUGAAUAAAUUUUAAUUUUAGAUCGAGAACCUGAAACAAGUCGAGGAAAAGAAAAAGUAGCUAAUUAGUCCCUGAACUUUUACAAAUUAAGCAAAUCAACCCAGGUAAGUUCAUAUGGCUGAAAUUUAAUGAUUAAAUGUUAAUUUCAUGAAUUAUGCAAUGUAUGAUGAAAUGUAUUUAUUGUUGAAAUGAGAAUAAAAUAAAAAUGUAAAAAUCGAAUAAAUGAUCAAAUUAAGUGGAACGCCGGAUUUAAGUACUUCUGAUCAAGAGAUAAAGUGAUAAGUGGUAGCUUUAGCUACACUUAUCUGAUCAAGUGAAAAAGUGAUAAGUGCUACACUUAUCUGAUCAAGAGACAAAGUGAUAAGUGGUAGCUUUAGCUACAAUUAUCUGAUCAAGUGAAAAAGUGAUAAGUGCUACACUUAUCUGAUCAAGUGAAAAAGUGAUAAGUGCUAUACUUAUCUGAUAAAGUGAGAAAGUGAUAAGUGCUACACUUAUCUGAUCAAGCGACAAAGUGAUAAGUGAUAGCUUGCUACACUUAUCUGAUCAGGGACGUAAGACCAUAGUUAUACUAUGGCAAAGUGAAAGUGAAGUACUCAAUUUUCUGUAACUGUUCUUUAAUUUUGAUCAAGGAUGGUAAGUGACAAACGGGCCCAAAGGAAUUAUGGUAAAAGAAUAAGUAGUAGUGAGUUCAUACCAAGGAAUUCACCAAAGAUUGUGGUUGACAGGUAAACUUAGUAAUUGUGUAUAUUGUAAGUGUACAAAUGUUUGGUAAGAUUUAUGUUUUAUGCCUAUGAACUUACUAAGCUUUUCUAUAAGCUUACAUGUGUGUGUUUAUUGUCUUUGUAGAUUAACAUAUUUAUACAUUCGGAGGAUCGGAUCUACAUCGAGAAUCACACUAUCCAGAUAUACUCCGGUAGAUUAUGUUAAGCAGCUUUUUGGAUUUAUAUGGCAUGUAUAGGGAAUUGAAGUAAAAAAAGUAAUAGAAUGAAUGACUAAGUAUGCAAAGUAAAUUUGAAUGUGAUGAUUGUGUUAGACAUUGAAAAAUACAUGUUUUUAGUUUGAAAUGGUUGAUUGGUUGAACUUCAUUAGUAUUCAAGCUAAGUAGUUGAAAUACUGAAAUUGGUUGUGAUUUGAAAUUUGCAGGGAAGGUUAGGUAAUUAUAAAGGGGUUAUAUUGAAAUUUUUUUUAAAAUUUCAAUGGAAUUGUUUUUGGACAGCAGCAUUGAUGUAACUUUGAAAAAUCACUAAAAAUAGUGGAAAUAGAAUUAGAAGUUGAGUGAGAUAUGAAAUUAAAGCUGAAUGAGUCUACUUUCACAUAAAAGAAGUAAAGUAAGCAAAAGAAUUAUAUACUUUUAGAUAUUUGAAUUUUAGUGAAACAGGGAAAAAAUGUUUUUGAAGUCCCUUAUUCUGACUUUAAAAAUUCAUUAAAAAUUGUACAGAAGUAAUUAUGAGUUAUAAUUUAUAUUUAUAGACUCCUUAAUGAGUCUAUUUUCAGUAGAAAUAAGUGGAAGCACCAUAUGAAGUCUGUAAUAAGAGAUAAUUGAAUUUUAGUGAUGAGUGGUCAAGAUAGUUGAUCAGUGAAACAGGGGAGACUUCAACUAAUAAAAUUUACUAAUUGGAUAAACCAAAAAUUCUGAAAAAUUUAUGGUGAAUAGAUAUAUGAGUCUAGUUUGAAGAAAAAUUUACGGAUCUAAAUUUCAAGUUUCGUAGCUUGAGUUAUAAUUAUUUUAGUGACUGCUGCGCAGGUGGAUAGCUUUAUUAUGAAUGGUGAAAUUAAUUUUGAAAGUAAAUUUUUAUGCCCGAACUUUUAAGUUAAGUCAAGUAACGCCUCAUGCUCGACUCCGGCAACGGUCUCGGGUAAGGGGUGUUACAUAUUAAUUUCACUACUUUAUGGAAUUAAUUUAGAAAUAACAGUGAUGCCUUGUGUUUACCCUUCUUUACCAAAUGAAAAACUUUGAAAGGUCAUUGAGAACCCAAGAAAAAUAAUUCCGAAUUAUAUGUUAUAGUUUUAUAUUCUAGCAGGUGCACCUCAACAAAUUCAAACUUAGAACUGCACACACAAAGGAGUAAAUCAUUUAAAUUGGAUACCAAUUAUUCUAACCUCACCAUGGUCCAUCAAGGAUACUCAACUUUUAUAUUCAUGUCAAAUAUACUUGAAGAAGGACAAAGUACAUAUCUAAUAACCUUCAAUCUUUUUAAAUGAAACGAAGUCUAUAAUCACCAAAAAAUGCAAAACAACCAAAAAAAAAAUUUUGGGCCGAUUGAAGAGCUAACUUUGUUGAAUGUUUUAGCAAUAUGAAUAUUCACCAAACUUACAACCUUUGGAAGUUCUAAACAAGACCAUUAUGAACACAAACUUAACCAAAACUUCAACAUCAUUAUUUACUUGACAAAAAAAAUUUUCUUUCGUAUAACAGAAGAAGAUUGUUUUCAGCAUUCAAACUCCUUAAAGAGUGCUAGAUUUCUUAGUUUUGCAGUGAAAUUAAAUAUGAACUUGUAUAGUAUGAUAGGCUCCUUAUUCUUCCCCCCCCCCCUCCCCCAAAGAAUAUUGCUAAUAUCUUUUCUUAACUAGUGCUAGAAUUUGUAUCGGAAAAAAUGCAAAUCCAAAAUUAACAAUACCUGUUAUUGCCAAACAGAGAAUAUAAGUUCCUGUAAAAAAACCACGAAUAAAAACGAAAUAUCAUUAUUUCAAGAGAGCAGCGAAAUAGUAAAAUCAAAGCACUUCUAAAUUCUAAUGAAUUUUGGGAAGCAUACUUCUUGGUAUAUAGAAUGAUUGACAAACGUGCUUUUGGCUGAAAAGAACAGAAAUUUGAUUUCUCAAUUUUUUCCACAAACGUGCUUCAGGGUCGAAGGAAGCAUAUGGAAGAUCUCACUGUCUGCAUGCUCGAUCUCCACAUUCCCUUCCCGAGUAUCUCUCUUUCUUCAUAUCUUUUUUUUUUGUGCGGCUUCGUGGUUUUAUUAGAAUGCGUUCAUAGGGGAAUUAGUCUUACGAUUAAUAUUUUCUCUUGUAAAAAGGAUAAAUUGAUGUUGCAAUUUAAUGACAGUUUUUAUGCUAUGGAUUGAGAAUGAGAUUCUAGGGUUUUUCAUUGAAUGAAUUUGCUUUUGGUUGUUUUAUUAACAAACUUUAUCGCUUCGUUUAAGAAAAAAAAUCCUUCUUUUAAGAUUGAAUUUAUGAAGUUUUGUCGGUUAAUUAAAUGCUUAGCUCUUUUCUAAUGACUGUAACCAAUGUAGCAAUGAUAUUAACGUAACCAAAGAAGGUUGAGUUAUAAAAGUGGAGAGAUAUUAUGCUAAACCGAACUACUAACUUCAAUAGUUUACUUCUUAGUGUUCUUAUAGAGGCAAUUUUGUUUGAAAAGGAUCUUUCUAAACAAUGUAAGAUUUGGUAUUUUUACUUAUUUUGUGAUGGUUGAAGAAGUUUGUGCGUAUCACUGAUUUAGUAACUUUGUCUAACGUCUCAUCCUAUGUUUUAUUUUUAAUACAUAAAUUUUUGAUACAUUGGAGCAGGAAAAAUUGGGUUAAGGAAGUUUCAGUCGGAGUUGUUGCAGUUUUUGAUGGUCAUAAUGGUGCUGAAGCUAGUGAGAUGGCUUCAAAACUUUUACUGGAGUAUUUUGCUCUAUAUACAUAUUUCCUUUUGGAUGCAACUUUUUCCUUUGUAUUGAAGAAGCAGUCAAGUAGGUUGCCAAAUGUAGGAGAAGGGGAUAUUGUUUUCCAAGUGCUUAAUUGGGACAAAGAGAUUGGAAAGCGUGGCUUGAACUUUGAAAGGUGAUAUCAUGUGUAACUCAGACCAUAUUUAUGUUUGAGUUCCUUGUUUUAGAAAAUGGAUAUAGCUGUUGCUUGCUGUUGACGAUUCUUAACCCAAAGUAUUAAUGCUUGCUCAGAUUAUUAACCCAAUGUUUAUUUCAUCAUCUUAAAGUUGCUUCCUGUUUGCUUCUACCUGCUAUUCAGCUGGUUGUGGGAAUUAGCCAUCCCUCGUGGAUUUCUCUGACAUUUUUCAUUGGAAGCUGUAUUAGGCUAGUGGAUUGGUCUUUGACUAGCAAUUUUCUAGGACUAUUCAGGUGAUUGCUUCUUGACUCUUUGUACAUUGUUCUAUUUCAUUUUCUUUGUCAAUGAGUUUGGUUUUAUCAUUGGUUAAUGUUUUUAGUAACUUAUGUUCUGUUUCUUUUUUGUCAAGGUUGUGGAAGGCUCUCCAGUUUUAUGCAGGCUUCAGCAUUUUCAUGCUUUAUGUGUAUCAACUCCGUAUAGAGUUCUCAAGUAUGUUACAGUGGAUAGCUGAUUUUGUUGGUCUAUUCAAAAUAUGUUCAACAUCUGAGUGGACUGAAAUUUGCUCUUCUGUUUCUCUUGUACUUUAUUACAUCAUGGUAUGUACUAGUUUUAUUACUAUAGGUCUGAUUCUGUUUAAAAAAUUUAGCUGAACCUUUUAAUGAAAUGCAAUACACUCUUCCCUCUUCCUAGAAUCUUAUAUUAUGAAAUUGACUUCAUUUGAGUCUUUCCUGUGUCUGACAUUUGUCUAUCUAAUAGUCUUUUCCCCAUAUUACUAAUUUAAGAUGGUUUGAAGUGUUUUCUUUCUAUAAGAAAAAUUUCCUGGACAGAUAUGAAGUAUUUAGUUGCAAACUAGACUUUGGAGAUUGAUGACAAUUUUGCCAUUCUGGAUGCAAUUUUUAUUCAAUUUGCUCAAUGAAAUUGCAGUUGAAAAUUUGAGAGCUUCCUAGUUAGAAACCACAUAUUUAUAUAAUAUAUGUUUUUAAUAGUUUUGAACAAGUUAAAUUAAUUAUAAAGAAAUAAUAUAAUUGAGAACAAGAUUAGAGUAGCUCGUUUGUACAUCUCAAUCUUAAUAUUAAGUGAUUGAUGACUCUAAGCUACUUAAAAACAAGAAGACAAUCAAUCUUCACUUUAAUUUGUAUGACGCAAAGUUUUUAAAACCAUUUCAAAGAACCGUUAAGAAAUAAUAGAUACAAGAUCUAAUCAAAACAUCAAGUAACGACCCAACCAAAACCCACCAAAGAGAUAUCCAAAGUCUCAAAUUUGGAAUUAAAGGUCAACGUAAACACAAAAUUCUCCAAAAGUAUUAUGAGUUCUAACUUUUUAAUGGGUAUAAUUUCUAAGGUAUUUACAUGCAAAAUUUGUAGCCCAAAUAAUAAUAAAAUAAUAUAAACUAAUCAAAGUUUAACUAAAAUAAAUAAAUAGAAUUUAGCUGAAAGAUUACCUCUCAAAUUUAAUCGAAAUAUGAGGCAUGCUCAAUAAUAAAGGUAUCACUUCAAUGGUAUAAAGCUACAUAAAAUCUUAGUUAUGUCUUUGAAAUAUUUUGAUAAAGGCAUGUGCAAAAACUUUUUGAUUCUAAACAAAUUCAUUCCCUCAAUAUUAUUUAUUUAAAAUCAAAACCACAUUUAUUUUUAAACAACAUCUAACAAUGUAUUUGGCUCAUCCAACAAUUUAUUUUUAAACGACAUCUAUUUAAAAAGAACCAAAUGAGAAUCAUUAUACAACUUCAUAAAGUUGAUGACACAUCCAACAUUUAAAGCACAAAGAAAUUAGAUAGGCCAACAACAAAACAAUAAUGCCAACAUUCUCAACUACGGCAACAAAUUUGUUCUAAAAACAAAAGUAAGCGCAUCGCACCUAGAGCGUAGAAAUAUUUGAAUUCAAUCAUUGUAACAACGAAAAAGGAAACAAGACAUCCAACAUCCUCAUCACAAUAGAUUCUCCUCUGACCCGCCAACAGCGUUUGCAAUGCAAUAAAACAAAAAGAGGUUAUUGUGAUAGCAAAUCUUAUAAAUAUUCCAAAAUUAACUUUUAGAUGCAUCAAGUCUUAAUCUAAGGGAAAGGGUUUAUCCAAACAUGAAAAAUCUAACCAACUCAAUUCAAUUCAACCCAACCUCAACCUAUCUAUAUAGUUUACUUUUAAUUUAUAUCUAAUUUCAAUUAUGGUUUAAAUUUAAAUAUUUUUUAACAAAAAUUUUAAAUACUUAAUAUUGAACAAAUAGUCAUAUUAAUGAAAAUAUGUAAUUAUGAACAAUAACUUAACACAUAGGUAAAAGUAUUUUUUUUUACUUAAUAAUAUUAUUAGCAAUAGUACGUUAUUAAUUGUAUAUAUGAAAAUAAUGAAGCUUAAAAAUUAAAAUUUAAAGACAAUGUCAUUGUCAAAUUUACUCAAAAUUUAUUUUUAACUAUAGUUAUCUAUGUACAUAUGUGACACACAUAAUAAGAUGCUAAUAUAUAUAAGGCAAAAUAUUAUAAAGUUAAACGGUUAGAUAAUGAAGUGAAAUGUUUCUAACCUUAUGCAAUAUUUGAACUUGUUAAUAUCCAAUGAUGUACUUGGCUCAUCAUUAGAGUUCUCACAGCUAUGAACCUCCAUUGAUGUUUCAAGCGGAAGUUGAUGGAAUGGCUUAGGAGGCAUCUCAAGGAGUUCAACAUCAGAUUCAAGCAUCUUCAAAACUUUACUCAUUGAAGGACGAUCAAAAGGCAGUAAUUGUAUACACCAAAAGGCUGUUAU
rnacentral:lncRNA from 1 species